rnacentral:lncRNA from 1 species
UAUUUUUUUUGUUUUCCUAUAAUUAUUUUAAAAAAUAAUUAUAUAAACAUGUAAAAUAAUUAAAAAUAAAAUCAUAGGUAUAAAAAUUAUUUUUAAAACACAUUUUAAAAUAUUAAAAAUAGAUUAAAGACAUUUUAAGCUUCCAAACAAACUUUUAUUCAACAAAACAUCAAAAAAUAAUUUUCAAAAACCGUUUUUCAUAAACAAGCCCUUAACUAUUAAAUUCAUAUCCAUCACAUUUGAAAGUAAUGACCAAAAUAAAUGUUUGAAACGUGGCUAAGUUGCUAAAUAUCACCAACUUACUUUCUAAUGUGAUCAAAUUAUAAUAACUAAAUCAAGUUACAUUUCAAAUGUGAUAAAUAACUUUUUGAGCAUGAAUUUCUUAUUUUUCAUGUGACCAUAAGGAAAUUGAUAAACUUUUCAAAUUAUUUUUCCAAAAUAUAGGCUAAAGGGCCUUGAUAUUACAUAACACUAAAAUUAGUUCUUUCAAAUUGUAGGAUAAAGAGCUUUAAUUUAGCAUGAAAUUAAAAAAUUAUAUUGAAGCUAUGUUGCAUGGAAGGAGUAUUAAAAAUCAUAGUCAAUAUAGUCUAAGGUGAUGUUUGUUUUUUUUACUUAAUUUUAAAUAGAACUUUAAUGCUUAAUAGUGUUAAGUAUUAGACAAUUUGUUUUUGUAAUGUUUUAUUUUUAUUAAGCAUUAAAAGGUAAAGAAAAAUCAGUAUGUCAUUUUUUCUAUUUAUAAAAAAGUAAAAUAUUUUGACUUUUUCUAUUCAGUAAAAAAUUCAUAAUAAGUUAUGAAAAAAUAGAAAAAUAAAUGACAUAAAGUCUAAAAAUAAAUUACUUUCAGCAAAAAGCUAAAAAAAAUAAAUACAUUUUAAUAGUGAAAUCAAUUCUCGCAAUGAAAUGAAAAAAAAAAAAAUUGUAUACAUGUCCUUGAGUUAUUAUUAUGAAUUUUUAGGUCAAAUAAAAUGGUUUGUAUUCUACACUACACAUAGGAAGUGAUUAGGGUUAUAACUAAUAUGGUCUUCUCCCAUUGUGUCAAUCUCAAAUUUAUGAUAUUGAAGGGUCUAGAGCUUAUUCCUAUUACAAAAUUGAGAAUAUUUGAACAUAUUUUCUUUUAAAUAUUAUUUAAAAAAAUAGUUGUUUAAGAUGAAAAUUCAAAAUUAUAAUACUUUUUAGUUUUUACCACUUGUUUUUAUUUUUGUAUAGAAUUUUUAUUCUUAAAAAAAUAAUUUAUUUUUAAUAUUAAAAUUUUUUAUAUUGAAUUCCCCUGAAAAAACGAGUUCAUUUUUGCACUAAGUACAUAUUUUCAAAAGCUAAAUUACAGUGGAUGUUUGGUAGACUAACUUAAUAAUUUAAAGUGACUUAAUAAUUUAAUUUAAAUUAUUAAAUAAUUUAAAUAUGUUUGGCAAAAUAACUUAAUAGUGUGAUUUAAAAGUAAAAAACAAAUUUAAGUAAUAAAUAAAAACAAUUAAUUUAUUUUUAAAUCCACAUAUUACCUUUACCUUUAUUUGUAAUAAUUAUUUUCGCCAUCUUUUUUACUAUUUUAUAACUUCUAUUAUUAUUUGAUUUUCUUUGUUUUAAUUAUAAUUUAUGAAUAAUAUAUUAAUUUGUUGAUUUAAAAUAAAUUUUAUUAAAUAAUUUUAAUAUUUUUUUAAAAUUAAAUAAUAAGUUUUAAGGUAAUAAUUUAAAUGUAAUUUAACUUAAAAUUAAUUUAAGUUAUUAAGUUUUAUUAAUUAUAAUCUAAAAGUACGUAGAUCGUGGAAUUAUUUUUAAUGGUAUAGUUUUUUAAAAUUUAAAUUGGGGCAAAAAAAGCCCCUUUGGGCCUUGACAUCUCUUGACAAAGAAGAAGGGUCAAGAAAGAAAUACCGCAAAAUAGGAGGGUAUCGCGACAAAAAGCAAUAAGCAAAUGGAGAGAGGCUGACACGAAGACAAAGCCCUAACUCUCAACUGGUUCGGUAGUGCCUCUUCUGUCUUUCGUACCAAGUGGUAUCGGAGGACGCUCAACAACUUUCAUCUUGAAGCGAAGCUUUGGAGAACAAUCGAUGGUGGAGGUGAAGGACCACGAAGAACCUGCAUUGCAUGCGAAGCGGAAACCUGAUCUCAGUUGUGUAGAAGACAAGGAGGACGAUUCUAAGAAGCAAAAACUUGAAAUUUCUGACAAUAAUUCCUCGGUUGUUGAAGACGAAUUUGAUGCAGACGAAGGGGAGUCAGAUUCGGACGAAGAAGAGGAGGAAGAGGACUCUGGAAGCGAGGAAGGCGAUGAUUCUGAGCAGUCCAAUGACAAGGCCAAGGCCAAGGCCAAGGUUAUUGAUCGUAAGGGAAAGGGGAUCUUGGUGGAAGACAAGGGAAAAGGGAAAUUGAUAGAAGAAGAAGAAGAAGAAGAUGAUUCGAGUGAUGGUGCGGCUCAAUCUGAUGACGAUAGCGAUCUUUCGGAAGAUCCUCUUGCAGAGGUUGAUUUGGAUAAUAUUCUUCCGACCAGGACCCGUAGGCGAGUGGUUCAGCCUGGAGUUUAUUUGGCUAAUGAUCUUCCGGAAGGGGAAGAUAGUGAUGAUAGUGAUGCAUAAGUUGAGGAAGGUUAGCAAAGUCUGUAAUUCUGAUUCAGUUUAUACUUUGUUGAAAUUCUGCUAAUUUAUUGUUCCGGUAAACACUGGUAAUGUUGAGAACAUUUUGUGACUCAGUUCAGAUAUUAGUGGUUUUCUCAUUUUUGGUUCAUCUGGGAUUGUAUUUUAUUGUCAAUAUUUUGGUUCCAUCAUUUUCUGCUCUCAUAAUGUGUAGUUAGAUAAUACUAGUUAAAAAUAUGAACAAAAUGCAAUUGUGAACGAUUUAGCUGCUAAUUGCAUUGUUGCUUGAAAUCCAUGGAAAGCUUGAAAAAAUCCAAAUGAAUGUGAGCAAACAAAUGAAACAACAGGCAAGAUUUGAUUUGGUCGGGUUGCUUGGUUUAUAUUGCUUGGUUUAUAUGGGAAAUAACUUCCAUUGCAUUUAUUAAUACUUUCAUCGUAUUGUCAAUUACUCACGCAGACCUAAAAAUCGAGUUUACAAAAUAAUUAAUUUACAUACAGAAGUUAUCUUUUGCUUAGGAUUUUUAGAAGGGAUGGCCCACUUUGAGGCUCAUAUUUUGCCCCCUUUGAGGCUCAUAUUUUGCCCCCAUAUAUUGGAUUAAUUGAUGUUGACAUAAACAUAUCAUUACUAUAAAUGCCAAACAUGAUUGGUAAUUUCUCUUAAUAAUUUUGAAUUACUUUUAGGGAAACACAUAAAUAGAGUCAUAUCAGAUAAAGAUGUAGAAAAUGAUAACAUAUGAAUAGUUUGGGUCAGUUGUUUUUUUGUUUUUUUUUUUUUUUUUUUGAUAGGUAAGUUUAGGUCAGUUGUAGUUUGGGAAAUCCUUAACCUAGACUUCACUCAAUCUUAGUGUUAGAGAUAAAAAAAAAAUGCUCUUUUCUUCUCCCCAUUCCUCUUUAUAUAGAUUUUAAUACAACCUGUUGCUAGAAUGUGGGAAACUCUUUCCUAAACAAUCUCUAAAAAGGGCACGUGUUAUCCUUACCAGUAACUCUACAUUUAGCAUGUCCUAUUUACACUUGAUGUGCAGGUCCCGCUUGUCAAAAUUCUCGUGUGGACAUUAGCUCCCUUCUUGUGACAAGUUGAAGAAUGGCAUAGGUCACACAUUGGGAAAAUUCUUGGUCUAGACAUUAGCUCCUUUGUUAUGCCAAGUUGAAGGAUGUUUCACUAGUAAACCAUGAGACAUAGCUGAUGGAUUUAUUUCACAAUUGUUAGGUUCAUCCUUUAUGCCUAUGAGGGGUUACCACACUGCUCCCCUCUCACUAGCAUGACAUCUGUCACACAUCUAGCGGUGACUCAAGUCACAUUCAUACUCUCAAGGCAUGUAAGAGGCUUGCCUCAAAGCGCAGCUACCCGAUAUUACACAGUUGUCACUAUUGAGAAAGUGCACCCUUCUCAAAAAAAUUUCAUGACAUACCAUAACAUUGUCACCACCACCACCCCUCCCCUUACUCUCCCCCUGGAGCCAAUGUGCCAUCAUUGGGGGCCCUAUAAUCAACCCAUUGGCACCCAAUUGUCACUUGAAGGUCAUAAAAGGAAGCUCCGAUGGUGGGUUGGGCCUUUUCUUCUUCCUCUACCUCAUUUCUAUUGCAAACACCGUUAGCGCCCUUAGUUGAACUAGUGCCACCUUUUUCUUGGUAUAUAUAUAUAUAUUUAAUAGGCAAAUGGGAAAAAAAUGUAUUAGUAGCGCCUAAAGGGAGGCAUAGCAAAGUACACACAAAGUAUACAAAAUGCCCAUUGGCAACAAAGGAAAGAAACAAAAAGACCCCUCCCCUUACUCUAGGCUCAAUCAAUCUACAAAAUCUAAAAUAGACAUUGUAUGAUCCUCUAUAUGCUACCUAGCCCAAUUCCCAAAGGUAUACAAAAAGGCAGAUUUGAUUGCUUGGUCAGACUGCUCAACAUCAUUAAAAGUCCUUCCAUUCCUCUCCUUCCAAAGAGUCCAAAACAAACAUAAGGGAGCCAUCAUCCACGUUUUUUUUCCAUUUUUUCCUCAUGAAAGAGCCAUGCCAACUCAACAAGUUCCCUCUCAUUGAAGAAUGCAUAACCCACUGUACUCCAAAAAUAGAAAGAAUCAAGUACCAUACCAUUUUGCUUGGUAGUGUUCAUUCUUGUUUGCACACAAAAGUCUCUUUCAUCUUUUGAUUUGCUCACAUCCUUUGAUUUUCCUCACUGUUUUUCCCUUUCAUCCUUUAAUUUUAUUUGGCCUUUAGAUUCCCUUCAUUUUUGUGAUAAUAUCUUUUUAUUUCUUAGCUAUUCUUUUGUCUAUCCAUCUACUUUUUCCUUCUUCUUUAUCAUGGCGACUCCUCGCAACUUAGAUACCCUAUAGGCUAUGUUCCAUUUCCAUUUUAAUGUUGAUAAGAGGGUACAUGUCCAACUACUUCUCCUCUCUGAAGAUCCAGCCUUUGACACAAACAACCACAGUAAGAUAACCCUCCAACAUUCCAAUUUCCUGGUAGGAUUGAGGUUACCUUUUCCAUCCUCAAUUAUACCCCUUUAAAUCUGCGCUAAUGUCAUCGGGUUACUCACUGAAUGCCUAGUACUCAACUAUCAACACAACCUAGAUGUUGGCUUAGAAGAGAUCUUAUUUCUGUAUAUCUUGAAGAAGAUAGAGAAGGAAAACACCUACUUCCUCUGUCCUCAGAAAAGGUCUCAUUCUGUGUUCUUAAUCUUCCCGACUGCAAUAAAGGUCAGGAGAAUGGAUUUGUUGAAGUAACAGGGGAUUGGGAGUUUGACUCUAGAGAUGAGGAGAAGUUGUGGGAGGAGCCAAGAACUUUUGGCUGGCUAGGUAGGUCUUACCUAUCUAUCAAGUGCCUAAUCUUCUCACUUUAUUAUUUUCAUGAUGGUAUGCUUACAUAGCUGAUGGAUAUGUAGAGGAAUGCGAAUGUUUUUUCAGCCAAAUUGAGAAUGGGUAUGUCAAAGUACUGAUUGCAGCUCUUGAAAAGCCUGGAAGAGAGGAGGGUUUACCCUUGCAAAGGACCUUGAUUAACAAAGCUUUGGGACAUUGUCCGCCCACCAACUCUGCAAACUUUGAGUCCCAAUAGAUCCCAUGUCAUCAAAAGCAACUUCAGGAAACCUCUGUUGUCAACUACUAGAAGAUUAAAGUAGAGUCCUAGUAGUUAGCAUACUAGUUGUAACUGAUAUGAUUAUUUCAAUUGGCACAAAUAAAAUCGAAAAGAGGAUCAUACUUUUGUGAAUUGAGUUAGGGUGUAUUUAGAGGAUCAUACUUUGUCUAUGAUUGCUUUUAUAGAGUGACUGUUUGUCUAGUUAGGGAAAAGGUUUUUUGUCUUCUUUUUGCCUAGUUUUGGGAGUGAUUUGUUUGUAUACUUUAUGUGUACUGUUUUCAUCAUUUCUAGGUGUUUCUAAUACAAGGUCUUAUUUACCUAUCUAAAAAAUAAAAUAAAAUGGAAAAGUGAAGAAUAGGGGAAGAGAACCUCAUUUUAUCCACUUCUUUUUUGAAAAGAGUUUUUUGUAUAUUGUAACUCUAGUUAUAAAGGAUGCUUUUCCACUUCCACCAUUUUUCUUUUAUCUUAUUAUUAGGAGAAUUUUUUGUCUCCUACCAUUUGGCAUCAUCUAUGGGAAUGAUAUAAAAGGUCAUCACCAUCAAAGCAUCAGAUCAAGGAUGCAUCAACUGUUGAGCUUUUCUUCCAUGAUGGAAUCUAUUUCGCAUGGGUAUACAUUCCUCAAUUGUAACAAACACAAUCUCACUACAUCUUAUCGGAUAAGGACUUCAAAGUUUGACAAGAAAGCAUCUUCCAUUUUAUUUUUAAUUUCUUUGGAUACAUGAUUUUCAUUGAAAAGAUAGAUUUAUAAAGAUUAGUUUGAAAUUUGACUAAUAAAACUUUUGGUAAGAGCUCAAUGUAAAACCUGACUAAUCCUUUAAUCAAUUUUUUGAUUGGUUGGGCUAUAGAUGAGGGUGGGUGGUGGGUUUUGUUACCCUUUUUUUUGUAGAUUCUUCUGUUUGGUGAUUGCUGUAUACCUUCUGUAUGCUUUGGAUCACCCUUUGGGUGCACUUUCCUUGUUAUUCAAUAUAAUCUUUUUUACCUAUCAAAAAAAGAAAAAAUGUAAAACUAACUGAGAGAUAGCUUAAAUAUACUUGCAAAAAAUAUAUAAAAAGUAUACUAAAUAUAUUUUAACAUAGAAUCAUAAAAAGAAAUUAUGGGCUGAUGUGAAGGUAUAAUACAAAUGGAUUCAAAGUUCAUUCAACUUAAAUAUACCAAGAGCAAAGGUGAUCUAAGAAGAUGGUCAACCAUAGGGAGUGUAUGAGAAGUUGUGAACCAGAAGUAAUCCUUGUCACUUGUCUUAUACUUGAGUUGUCUACUCAACUCAAGCAAAGCUCAACCAGUGUGAUGGCACCGUGCAACUCGUGUUCUUUGCAGCUCCAGCAAAAUGCCCAGCAGUCCACCCUAACAACCUUGGGAAGUUUGGAAUUUUCAAGAUAGGUGGAAACACUAGAGAGCAAAAAGAUGGUGAAGUUGAGGCGGGAGUGAAAAUGACUCAACAAAAGUGAAACAUUUGAAGCGAGUAGCUUGUCUUAAGACAGUUUUACUUAUAAAAUUAUCCCAUUUUGUGACUGCUCAUUUCCUGCUGAAAAGUGUGAUCUUGGUUGUAACUGGUGGUGGGUUGACUAUGUUUUGUGCCCUUUAGAGACAGUUACAGUCUUUAUUAAUUGGUAGUUCAAGUUGGAUUUCUAUUUGUAAGGGCUUUAUAGGUUUCCAAGGAAAGGAAGGCAAUACAAAGUGCACAAGUAGUCUUUCAUUUUUCCAAGUUCACAAGCAGUUAUUAAUCCCUUUAGACAGGCAAGUGGUGGCUGACUGUCUGUUAGAAAAGCAGGCAUUAGGCAAUUUUCUUGGAGAUAAAUAUUACAGAGAAGGCAUACUGUAGCCUCAAGUUUAGUCAGGAAUGCCACUGGUUCUCACAAUUGGAUUAAGUUUGCAGCAUCUGUAUUACUUUGGCCAAUACAGAACAUUGUUUAUCCCACUCUGGAGUCAAACAUCUACCAGCCUAAAAAAAACCUUUGGUGGUCUUGAGUAAGAUUUGCGUCCUUUGGAUGGUGCAGAGUGAUGAUUCUUCUGGCUAACUUUGAGGCUCAAACAUUUAACUGUCUUCUACAACUGUUGCUAUUGCUAGUGGUAUUUUCUAGCAUUUCAAUGAAUAUCCCCAUGUGCACAUGCAUAAGCAACACCCCUUAACCACCAGUUUGGCUAGAUAUAAUCUAGCUUUCUUUGGUGGCAAGAGGCCAGGAUGGGGAAACAGGUGUUUCCAAGUUCAAUUCCACAUAAAAGGAGAAACAAAGAAGGCAAAAAAGAAGUAAAUAUUACAUAUCAACCCCACCCCAAAAAAAAUCUAGUUUUGAGUCUCCCAUGAUUGUUUGAUCACCUCUGCUGCGCGAGUUUUUUCCCUUUCUGGUUCAUGUCUCUGGAAUGCACCCUGAGUUUGUCACUUGAACAAGCUAUUCUUCUGUGUUGUGGUCAGGUACAUGAGUCCUAGAACAUGUGAACAUGGUUGAAUUGUGAAAAGAAUCCAAUUUUCUUUGUUGCCACCAAGUAAAGUUAACCUUGUAUGUAGCGUCUUUCUAAAUGAUAUUUGACUCAUCUUGGAAUAUCGAUGACAUGCCAACAAAUCCGAGAAAAUGUUCCUGGGAACUUCUGGUGAACUUGGAAUUAUAUUUCUCUUCAAUUGUUAAAUAGGUCUGAUGCAUGUUUUUGACCACUAGGUUGCCCAAUGCAUCCCAUACUCUGGGAUUGUUGUACCAUAUGCUGGAAUAUGUUGUUUAUCUUGGCCGGUUAGUCAUGAUGGGAAUUUCAAUUCAGUUCAUUUCUCUAUGCAGAUACUUCUUUAGAUUGGGAAGAGAUGAUCAAUUGUUUCAAUAUGGUUCAAGCACCUGUAUCAGGUUGAUCAGCAAUCUUAGUGCUUUAACUUCUAACAAAGAUGAGAUAACCUGAAUUGUAUUAGAUACCAGGCUUGAGAUGAAGAGUUUGUUGUUUCUGGGAUUGUGUAGGGUUUUCUGAGAACCUAGUUGUGAAGGAUGGUGUACUGAUUUCAGCAUAUUGUUUGUGGAUUUUGUUGGACUUGGAAGAAUAGUUCACUAUUUUUUUUUGUCUCCACAUGGUCUCAUCAGAAAACCAGCUUUUGAAUUUCAGUUUGCACAUCUGUUGAUCAGUGGGCUCGAUGAGUAUCCAUCCUCAAUUUUACUUGUGAUUACUUCUUCCCUCAAAGCUUCCAUGAUUAGGAUACCAAAAAUCUUCAAUAUUUUGUUUGAUGGUCAAUCCUUCAUACUACACUAACAGAGACCAUUAUGAAUCUUUGAUUAUCAGCAUGCGUCUCCAGGCAGAGAAUAUCAAAUGUCUUGAAUUUGAAGUCGUGGUUUCAGGCAAUGGUCCCUCACUAGGGCUGAUUCAAUUGAAUAAUGGAAUGCAACCCCUAGGCCUGCUUCUACUUAUUGAUGAAUGUGUAAUAUUCCCAUUUCAUGUUCCUCUUCUCUUCAUUCUGCUCAUGAGUAGCCCCCCCAAGACUGUCCAUAGGUAAAACAUUCUAAGUUCUGUAACCCCAGCACCCACUAGGGAGGUAAUGCCUAAAAACCAAGUGAGCCACAUUUUGUCAGUUAAGCCCACUUCACUCAUUCUCCUAGAGAAGAAGAAAACAUCAAUUCUCAAACCAGGGCCAGCAGCCACGACUCAUGGGCAUACUCCAUUUAUCUGCAAAAAAAAAGACCCCAUUUCUCUAACCAGGACCAGCUGACGUCAACCCACCAUCUGUGUGGUCCUUCAGUCAUCAUCACCAUCCUCGUCUCUAACCAACACCUCAAUACUCUUCCAGUCUUUCCGUCAUUCCAUCGCGGUUACCAUGUCAGUCUGCGCAUUUCAGACAGACCGACAAGUUCUGGGAAUGAAAAAAAAGGUCUUCCAGCGACCCCAAAAUCCCAAUUCGGCAAUUUCAUACCUUGGUAUUACUCAGUGGUCCAAAUCAGUCUGAGAAUUUACACACACAGUGCAGAGACCGUUUCAACUUGAAGAUUGGUAAAGUUAAGAGAUGGACCACAUGAAGCAACAAAGGGACAUUUUUACAUUACAGUUCGGUGGGGGGUGAAGAUGAAUCCAAUUUCCAUGGUCGGAUGAGUAGAACCAUAGAGAAGGCAGGACCACGGUUCGAGGCCAUGCGCUAUGAUAGACCGCAUGCGGUACCAAAAUUUCAAAAAUUUCACGGGACAACGUGUAACAUUAGCCAUGAAAUAAUGCCCCCAAUUCUUUAAUAAUUAAGGCAAUAAUUCUCCACAAACUCGUAUCAUAGAAAUAGGGAGAUGCGUGUAGUUUAAUGAGUAUUGGGAGUAGCUUGGAGCUCCAAAAUGAAAGUAUCAAUAAUGCUGGGGUGGGUUGGAUAAUCUUUAGUGUAGUUUGAAAUACCUAAUGUACUUCACAUGGUUGCAAUUUUAGCAAAUGAUGGAAGAGACAUAUGAAGAUGGAAAUGAUGAUGACCCCUUUUUAAAGAAUAUUUUUUUUGUGCCUUUCACUAUCAAUUAUGUUCUUUAUCCUUGUAAUUAUAUGCAAGUGGAGGUAUAAUUAAAUAUGAUUAACCACCCUUUUGGUCUAACCACUCCCCUUUUCAUAUGCAAAUUACAUUUCUCUCAUUGGAUGACUUCUUGUGUGCUUCAAUUAAACGUCAUUCCCCCAUAUUACGUGUGUGUUUAAACUGUUGAUUUCUGCUGAUUUUAGUCUAAUGCCAGACAAAUUUUGCCAGCCUACAAACCCUACCACUCCUUUUAUUUUAAUCCAUAGAUUUCUCAUCCCACAUGCCCUCUCUCUCAUUCUUUAAACUUGUGUCAAGCUUCUUCACGCAAAACUCCAGGGAUUCUAGAACCCUGCCCAGCUUCCUCUAACACCCCAUCUCCUCUUUGAAGAUCUAUUUGGGGUCAAUUUAUUGUCUUGUGGGCAAAAUUUUUAAGAGUUUCCCAUUUCAUAUGUGUAAAAAAUAAAAUAAUAAUAAUAAUAAUAAUUUAAAAAAAUUUAGAAUAUCUUCAUUUAGCCUGACCUAAAAGGCUAUGCCAAAUGGGAUCUUGAAUUUCCACUUAAGUAUAAAGUCUUAAGUAAUUUUAGUGUUUUAAAAAAUAGUUUCAGUAUUUAAUUGAAGGCUCCCUUUUAAAAGAGCCAUAUAAGGAGAAAAAAUGAAGUAAAAUUGAAUACCGAAAAGAAGUUAUAUUGGCACAGGGCUCAUGGUCAGGCUCAUUACAGUAGCCAUGAGUUGUGACUUAUGACCCACGUUAGGAGUUAGGACCUUGAAUGAUCUCUGUGUUCUGUGCCAGCAAUGUACGAAAAACAAAGAGUCACAAGAGGCAGCCCCACCAUCACAUGGCGGCCGAUUCUCCUUUGACAAUGGCCUCCCAUGUUAAGCCAAGGGAAAAUUCAACUCUAGUAGAUAAAAUCUGGGCUAUUUCGUGAUGGGGAUUGAUGAUCUGAUCUCAACAUUGAAAUUGCAGUAAUGUUUGACUGAAGCCACCCUGCAUUUUCAGCUCAAAUCUGCGGGCAUCAUCUCUUCCACCUACCUUUUCAUGAGUCGUGCCUUAACAAAACAAGAUUUCAGUCUUCGCUACUGGACUUUUGUAGCACCCAAUAGGCACCUCUACGAAUCUCUGCGGCUGGCUGGCAGGCUGGCCCCCGACUCUAUAUUCAUAUCCAUGAACAUUUUCAUGAAUUCUCACAAAUGACAAAUUUCUUUUUAUUGAGAUUCCUCAGUGCCUGACCCCCACACGCCAAAGAAAUCAAAAAGGAGAGACGGAGAGGGCUCAAAAAAUGUAAAGAGUUCGGUAUGGACCCAAUUAAACAUUGAGCAUUAGAAACAAAAUUUACAGCAAAAAGCAUGCUGUUAUGGAUUCUUUCCUUUCUCUCUCUCUCUCUCUCUCUCAAGAAAGUUUCAAUAAUUUUGCGAAAAAAAAAAAAAAGUUAAAAGACAUUUUUCAAGCAUGCCAGCAUGCCAAACAUAUGUUCAAUGGGGGAUUCAUUGAUGGGUCAACAACUUAAUUUCGGUCACAUCUAUUUUUUCAAAUUCACUAUUAACUUCAACCAGAACUUAAGCUUUUUAGCUAAAAAUCAAGUUUAGAGAUAAUGCUCAAAUCAAACCAACAAAAAUUUUGAGAAAUACUCAUCAAAUGGGUGGCUAAAAUCUAAUGAAUUUGAUAAAGAAAGAGAAGGAAAAGUGAUUAAACAGUGGGGAGGGAUGGGAUUUGAGUGACAAAAUUGACCAGUGAUUAAACACACUGCUGCACUUUAAUGGAGCAAGUAUCAGGAAAUAAUACGAGAGGGGGAAUGGAGGAGGGCGAUAUAAAAUGAUUGAUGUAUAAUGGCAAGAGAUAUGACAAAACUCAUUUAUUAACACUUUGUCAGCAAAGCAAGAGAAUCCCAGAAAACCCGCUGGAGAAAGAUGUUUGGUGAUGAUAAAUGAUAAUAUUUCUUUAUAUGUAUGUAUAUAUAUAUAUAUAUUGGCAGAUGAGAGCGUGGCUCUCACGACCACUGCUCAGAAUCUGUCCUCUUAGGCUAUAAGCGGAAGUGUCCAAGCCACUACCCUCUCUCGUCUCUUCUCCUACUGUCUACACCCUGUGACUUUUACCGUCAAACCUUGCCCUCUGCUUUGUUCUUCUCCUUGUUCUUUCUCUUGGGUCUUAAUUCCACCCCUGAUUUUGUGCUUGAUGCUCUUCCAUGACUGCGACCUAUCCAUACCUUGACAAUGGUUUAGAAUGAUGCUCACAUUGAAAUUGUUUUGGUGCAAAAGAAAGGAAAUAAAAUUUUAUCAAUUUGGAAAUUCUUAAAAUAUUAUGAAAUGUUUGUUUUUCUAGUUGAAUAUAAAAAGUCAAAAAUUAAUAUUAAGUGGUAUUUAUUUUUUAAUUGAUAUUUGAUUUUUUUUUAUUGAAUUAAAAAAUAAAUAUCACGUAAGUUUUUUUUUUUAAAUGCUUAUGUUAGGUUUGGUUUUAGAAAAAUAAUAAAAAAAAAUAUUUUUCUCAGGAUUUAAUUAUGAAAAUAUAAAAUAAAAUUAAAAUAAGUCAAAACUAACUUAUUUUAAAAUUUUUCGAAAUGGGUUGAAGUUGGAUAUAAAAAAUAAUUUAUUUAUUCAUAUUUUUCUUUAAAAUUUUGGAAAAAUCCAUAUGGUUAAAUUCACCCACACAUGAAAUGGAGCAACGGAAAUCAAAAGUGCUUUUAAAUGGAAUAAGUAGAAAAGCCGAUAACCCUUAACUUGAAGGAACCAUAUCUCCAUGAAUGAUGGGAGGGUUGGAGGAGAUGAUAGAAUGAUGAUAAAGGUAUUUCCGGUAGGAGUUUUUGGGAUUCUUUUUUAUCCUUUUCAUUAUUAUAUGUAGAAAGGGGUGACGUACAAGAUAAAAAUAAUUUAAACUUUUCACUUAGUAGUUGGUUGAGUAUUAAUUUGAAACGUCUAAGUUAGGUGCAUAGUUGAAAGCACUUUUUUUGUUGCUUUCCCAAGUCAAAAUAUCAAUGUGUUUUUUAAACAUAAAUUUCAAAAGCACAAAAAAGAAGUGUCCAGAAGCAUAAUUGCUAGUGGCAUAACUGUAAGGUUGUUUUAAGAAAUAACUUUGUCAGACUAUACGCCACUUCUUGAAGGAUCAUGUAGUGUAGCUUAAAACCGUUCCACACAUGACUUAGAAAUCACAUUGAAAAGGGUAAAUAAUUAUGAUUAGCUGUAACAAAAUUGAUUACAAAAAGAGGGAAAAUCAAUCAUUUAUUAUUAUUAUUAUUAUUAUUUAAAUAUUUUUAUCAUUUUUAUAUUAAAAAUAAUUUUCCAACUUGGAAAAAAAAAAUUCAAAAUGACCAUAGGUUAUAAUCCACGAGACCAUAUUAUUAGCGUGUACCACGAUACACCGGAUCAAAAAUUAAUUGAGCAACGCAUUUACAUUACCACUACGCAUUUAAAGCGGUCUUAGAUUUUGUCAAAAUCAUUUUCUUUCUUACAGAAUUUCCUAAUCAUUAAAAGGCCAUGAUUCAGUCAUCCGGAAAGUAGAGGAAAAAAAAUAAAAUUUGCUGACACGAAAAGGAACAUACUCUCUAGAGUACAGAAAAUGUGUACUCGCUUCUCGUGAUGCUGAAAUCUCGGACUACGCUAUUAAGAUGCCCCACAUGAGAGAGUGUCGUCACGGCAGGCCGCGAGUAGAUUUGACUACAUCGAGUAGGGAAUAAUGAUCUUAUCUAUAAAAUGGCAGUUCGGUAAUUAGAAGUAAAACAAGUGUCAUUUGUGGGUCUGUUGAUGACUGAUCUCUUUAGUAAGACUUUGGCAGGGUCUCUUGGAAAGCAGAGAUAAGGACACAUGCAUGUUACCACCACAGGUCAGCACUCAACGGUCAAGAUUCCCUUAAACCUUCCAUCUACGCGACAGUGACCGUGAGAUCUAAGGAUGCAACUAACCCUGGUUAUGCUUUAGGGGUUGAAAUAUUAACCAUGGUUGUUGGCUCAGUGUUGGGCAGGGGCUUCUCUCUGAGCUUUAACAGGAGUGAGAGAGGGAGAGUGGUGAGGAGAGAGACAGCUCCCUCUGAUUGCCAAGAGCUCCUUCUCUUUCGCAGUAUCAUUAUACGAUUUCGAUUUAGUUCAGUUUUUUUUUUUUUAUCAUUUAUGGAAAUUUUAGAUUCUCAGAUCUAUAAAUUUGAUAUUUUCUUGAUGUUUUUCAUUGCGGUAAUCAUCACUUUUUGAUCAGGAGAUGAUCACUGAGAAAAUAUUUUCCUGUAGUUUCUCGUCCUAGAAGUUUUUUUUUUUUCCUCGAGAAAGUUUGUGGUUUUUUCUUCUUCUUCUCUUCUUCUCUUGUUUCAGAUCUAAGCUGAGAGGGAAGAGAUGUAAGAUAUUCGUUUCUAGGGUUACCAUUUUCUUUGAGUCCGAGGUAGUUAUGGAUCUGUAGAUCUGAAUGAGUGGUUUCAAAGGAUCUUUUCGGAGAUCGAGUGAGAUAUCCAGAAUUUUGCCCGAGAUCUUGGUUUUAUAAGGAAAAAAAGCUUUGUUUAAUCGAGUGUGAGAAUUCAAAACCAGAUCUUGGCUGUUUGUCUGGAAGGUUGUGGACUUUUGGAUUGGCUUAGAGCUAGAUUUACUGUAUCUGUAGNNNNNNNNNNNNNNNNNNNNNNNNNNNNNNNNNNNNNNNNNNNNNNNNNNNNNNNNNNNNNNNNNNNNNNNNNNNNNNNNNNNNNNNNNNNNNNNNNNNNGCUUAGAGCUAGAUUUACGGUAUCUGUAGUUUUAUUGCGUGCUUUUGAAGAAUGAAUUAUUUUCCUGAUGAGGUUUUGGAGCACGUGUUCGACUUCCUGACGUCCCACCGAGACCGCAAUACGGUGUCUCUGGUGUGCAAGUCAUGGUUUAAGGUGGAGAAAUGGAGCAGGCGUAGGGUCUUCGUAGGGAAUUGUUAUGCGAUUAGUCCUGAAAGAUUAAUCGCUAGGUUUCCUAGGGUUAGAGCUCUUACUUUGAAAGGAAAGCCUCACUUUGCUGAUUUUAAUUUGGUUCCUCCUGAUUGGGGAGGUUUUGUUUAUCCCUGGAUUGAAGCCAUGGCCAAGAGUAAUAUUGGGUUAGAGGAGCUCAGGUUGAAGAGAAUGGUGGUUUCGAAUGAAGGCCUGGAGCUGCUUGCUCGAUCGUUCGUGAAUUUCAAGUCUCUGGUUUUAGUCAGCUGUGAAGGGUUUACCACCGAUGGACUUGCAGCCGUUGCUGCAAAUUGCAGGUAGGAGCUGGCUGUUCAUUUUUUAGUUUACUUUAGCUAGUAUUUUUGCAUAUUUUUAUAAGUUGUUGCCUCUUCUGUCCCUUUCAUUUAUUUGUUUUUAUGGAUUUAAGUAGUUGAUGAACAACUCUCCGAGAGUCUCAUGUGUCUUUCGCUUAGAUUUCUGUAUAUGCGCCUUUUCAACCAAGUUAUACUGCUAUAAUGAUACUGAUAGCUGAAUAAAAUUUAUUUCGAUAUCAAAGUUUGUUUGGUUACUAGUAAUUGUCCUCGGACGGGAAAUUGAUCGAGCUGAACCAUCAGGAUUAUUGGUAUGAUUUAGGUUUUAUUUCUCUCAUUUAUUUAGUUCAAUCUUUGGGAUGUUCUCAAGUGAAGCUAAAAUAUCCAGUAAUUUGUUGUACAAUCUAUCAAAAUGUUGAAACUCUUUAUUAUUGUAUUCACGAUUUCUUGUUGUAAUUUGUCCAUCAAUAUUUCCUGCCUUGUCUUGGUGUUUGUGCGGCUCUUUGGUUAGUUUCCUUAUUCUUUCCAAUCGGGAAAUUGAGCGAGCUGAACCAUCAGGAUUAUUGGUAUGAUUUAGGUUUUAUUUCUCUCAUUUAUUUAGUUCAAUCUUUGGGAUGUUCUCAAGUGAAGCUAAAAUAUCCAGCAAUUUGUUGUACAAUCUAUCAAAAUGUUGAAACUCUUUAUUAUUGUGUUCACAAUUUCUUGUUGUAAUUUGUCCAUCAAUAUUUCCUGCCUUGUCUUGGUGUUUGUGCGGCUCUGUGGUUAGUUUCCUUAUUCUUUCCAAUCGAUGGCUUACUAAUUAUAGCUGCAUAUAUCCUUUUAAGUCUCCUAUUUAUAUGGACAACUGUCUACUGCCCUCGGUUUCGUAAUUAUUACUGUAUUCGUGCUUGUGAAAUUCUCGUUUUAAACUUUUUUCACAGAAACAUGAUCUAGGAUUCUGAUGACUAAGAGAAAGUUAAUGAAUGAUUAACAAGAAAUCACCACAGACAAAACAAAGAACAGAUAUGAGCAUAGGGAUGAUGGCUCUGAUAGUCUCAGACUCUAAACCUGGUCCAGGCAACAGAUUUUCUUUCUUGUUCCCAGACCUGAAAGAUCCUUAUGGAUCUGGAGAACAAAGAGUAAAAGACUUUUGUCUAACUCUCCAUAUGGUGGUAGGUGCAAACAUAGUUCAAAUGGACUGAAUUCAAGACAAUAUCACACCAUAAACUGUGUUUACAAAACACCCACUAAUUGAUCUUCAAUCCGCUUGGAUUGACAUCCGACCCUAGUUUUUGUUUUUUCAAUUUAAAUUUUUAAAGCCUUUUUUUUUUUUGUCUCCUGGGUUAUGAAAUUUAAUCAAGCUCACCAGAAAAGGGGUCUUUCCCCAAUCAGGAUAUGUUUUUGUUCUGGAUGUUACAACUUUAUUCCGAAAAGAUCAAUACCCUUUGUUGUGGAAUUUCUAUGAAAUAACUAUUUUUGUUACUCAUCUGCUGACAAAAAAAUGACAUGUCCUUGGAACUUCUAUGGAAUAACUGUUUUUGUUAUUCAUAUGUUGGCUAAAAAGACAUUUCCUUCUACUGAAAAGAGGGGUGCUUGGACAGUGGGAAUAUUAUGGGCUAGAAAUGUUGGGCUUUGGCAUAGAUAUUAAUGUAUGCUUCAUUUUGUUUCUCUAAUCUAGGUUUCUUAGAGAGCUUGACUUGCAAGAAAAUGAAGUUGAGGAUCGCAAAGGCCAAUGGCUUAGCUGCUUCCCUGACAGCUGCACAUCACUAGUCUCCUUGAAUUUUGCAUGCCUCAAGGGAGAAGUUAAUUUGACUGCCCUUGAAAGACUGGUGGCAAGAUGUCCUAAUCUCAAGAGUUUGAGGUUGAACCGUGCGGUGCCCCUUGAUGCACUCCAAAGAAUUCUUAUGCAUGCACCUCAACUUGUGGACUUAGGCACUGGUUCUUAUGUUCAUGAUCCAGAUGCUGAGACCGUCAACAAACUUAUAAGUACCUUCCAGAAGUGUAAAUCAAUUAGGAGCAUGUCAGGGUUUCUGGAAGUUGCUCCUCUAUGCCUGCCAGCUAUUUACCCCAUUUGCUCAAAUCUGACCUCCUUGAACCUGAGUUAUGCUCCAGGGAUUCAUGGAGAUGAGCUGAUAAAGCUAAUCCGCUACUGCAGGAAACUUCAGCGACUGUGGGUAUGAACUUUUAACCCAACUCUAGCCUCUGAAAGCAAUACUCUUUUUAUUGAAAUGUAUGACAAGUUCCCAUGAUUUAUGCAGAUAUUGGAUUGCAUUGGAGACAAGGGACUAGGAGUUGUCGCUUGUACUUGUAAAGAAUUGCAGGAAUUGAGGGUUUUUCCUUCUGAUCCGUUUGGGGUUGGGAAUGCUGCUGUAACCGAAGAAGGUCUUGUUGCUAUAUCCUUUGGCUGCCCCAAGCUUCAUUCAUUGCUAUACUUCUGCCAGCAGAUGACCAAUGCAGCACUCAUAACUAUAGCCAAGAAUUGCCCCAAUUUUACACGCUUCAGGUUGUGCAUUCUGGACGCUACAAAAGCUGACCCUGUGACCAUGCAGCCACUAGAUGAAGGUUUUGGGGCAAUUGUUCAGUCAUGCAAGGGUCUCAGACGGUUGUCCCUCUCUGGCCUUCUAACUGACCAGGUUUUCCUUUAUAUUGGAAUGUAUGCUGAGCAGCUUGAAAUGCUUUCAAUUGCAUUUGCCGGUGAUAGUGACAAGGGAAUGCUAUAUGUACUGAAUGGCUGCAAGAAGCUUCGCAAGCUAGAGAUUAGGGAUUGCCCCUUUGGGAACGUGGCACUUCUGACGGACGUGGGAAAGUAUGAGACAAUGCGAUCCCUUUGGAUGUCGUCCUGUGAAGUUACCCUUGGAGGCUGCAAGGUACUUGCGGAGAAGAUGCCAAGGAUUAAUGUGGAAAUUAUAAACGAAUACGAUCAGAUGGAGUUUGGCUUUGAUGAUAGGCAAAAAGUAGAUAAGAUGUUCCUUUAUCGGACAUUGGUUGGGCCAAGGAAAGAUGCACCACAUUUUGUGUGGACUUUGUAGAUGCAGCCUGGCUCUUCCAGAUAUUUUUUAUUAUCUAGUAGUUGUACUUUGUUUAGGUGAACUGAUUACUGGAUUUUUAGUUAAUGCAGAAUUAGGGGUAUGUUCUUGUUUAAUUUACUAGAGAUCUCUUGUUUGUAAUUCUCAUUAUCAUAUAUAGAUCUUUGUUAGUAUUUUUGGCAAGUACCUCAGGAGGGGCAAUAUCGGUUAUCAGUGGAAUGAAUCUUCUUGUGUAGCCUGUAGCAUCAUUUUUGGUUUUGAAUUAGCUGCUCUGGUUGGAAGGAUGAAUUAGAUAUAUGAGCUUGAUUGCUAAUUGUUGAGUUCGUGUAGGUCUCGGGUAGGGUGUAUUUGAUUUUCUGGGAGGACAUAGAUUUUGGGUACAAAGGGCUGAGGUCUGCCGCCAUUUAUGGUGAAAGAAACAGCUUCAGGGCUAAGAUCUUCAAACGGAAGAACCACCAUACCAGCAGCUAAAAGGCCAAGAUUUGGAUUUAUCCUGCUGGGAGAACAACCCUUAACCAGUUCCUACAACUAACUCGCGGCAGAAAAUUGAUGUCCUUUUCUCAGCACCGUGAUGAAAAUACUACAACAUUUUUAUGUUAGGCUCUCGGUCAAUCCCAUCCCAUGUCUACUACCUGCAACAACAGUGAUCCUUUGCCAAAUAUAACUGUUGCACAUAAUUUCCCAUUGUUUAUAGUGGCUAAGCUUCCAUCCAAAAAAAUGGGGUUUAUACCAUGAUAUUCCCAUCCCCUUAUUCUACUUUUAGUAGUUGGUCUAUUCCUGAGGAAAUAAAGUUGUCCAAUUGAAAGUUUUAGGUUAUGCCGGUUCAGAAAUGUGUUUAGGAAAGAAAAAAAAAAUUAUUAAGAAAUAUAAUUUUUUCCGCUAAAAUAUAAAAAUAUGAAAGAAAAUUAUCCAUAUUACAAAAAAACUAAAUAUCAUUAAAAUUCAUUAUAAAUUUAUAUGUUUUCAAAUUAUUUAAUUUUUAUAUCAAAAAGUUAAAACAAAUAAAAAUAAUUUAUUAACUUCAAUUUUUUUUCUUCACUUUUUUUUUCCUCAAAAUUUAUAGCCCUGGUAAAAUUUUAGCACAGGGUUCAAAAAAAUUCUAUAAAUUCAAAAUAUGAGUCAGUGAUUAAUUAUAGCCAAUGUUAGACAGCCCAGAAAACUUAAACUGAAUCAGUUCAUUGUCAAAUAAAGGAUCUAACAUAAAUCACAGAUCAUUUUUCUUUGUUAGUAGAUGGUGCAAUGAAUUCUUUUAUUUGACAGUUCUUGCAAUUACAAAGAAUCACAACGAAGUUGCAUAAACUCACUGAAGAGAGGGAGGAGGGGAAUUAAAGGAAUAAGGAGGGUGGGUGGUGAGGUGGGGUGCUACAACAAACGUACCGUGCUUGAGAAAUGUAACUUCAAAAAUAACACCACUCAUAGAGAAAUGGCCUUCUUUAGGAAUCAUUUCAAUGGCAGAAUUGCUUUCAAUUCCACAUGAGCGUAUCCUUUGGAAAUUCAUAUUGUAAGAAAAACAUUCAAUCGGUUAAAUUUCAAAAUCAUAUUGAGGGCAAAAACAUCCUUGGAAACAAAGCUUAAAUGGAGUUAAAAGGGAAAAGCUCACACAAAGAAAUGAGAAACUGAAACCACAUUAAGGACAUUGAAGUACUGCUAAUUUCAAACCACCAAAGUGCACAGUAGAUAUAAUCCAUACCAUGUCAUAGAACCCCUUUACAACCAGACAAAAGGCAUACACAGCACGAACUAGCAAACCCUCGAGCUUUAUUUUUGGAUUUUGCAAUUUUUAAAAGUUAACCCCCAUAUUUCGUGCAAGACAACCCAUUGAAGCUGCUUUUUCAUAAGAAGCAGCAUUCCUCCAACAAGCAGCAGCAACAAAGGGCAGCCAAACUGCACAUGCAAAAGAAAAUACUCAUUCCUUGCAGCAUCAACAUAGAAAAGAUAUAGGUUGUAAAAUAGAGAGAACUUAUUUCUAAAAUAUUAAUACAUACUUUUAAGGACAACAAGCAAAAUUAAAAUUAUUUGUGAUGGAACCCGUUGUAUCAACAGAAACUUUUAAAGAGGGAUCUCAGAAGGAACAAGCCGACCAACAAAUCUGAAGAUAUUAGAGGCACAGCUAUAUGAAUGACAUUAUGGGUUCGAGUCUUUCAAGAUAUGUUUGUCAUACAACCCAACAUUCAGUUGAAAAAACCAAAAUCCAACAAAGAUCUAAUGUCCAAGGAAAUUAUGCGAGCCCUAUCACAAACCUAAUAUCACUACUGGGAAGAUUCCACAAUCCACAAUGCCGAAAGGCAUAGUUACACAAAGCGUCCAUGACCUGUUUUGAUUCUUGCUUCUUUUGGGUUACAGUAGAAUAAAUAUCUGAUAUUCAUUAUGUCAAUACAAGGAAGCAUGCACACACAAGUCCAUCUAUGACAAAUAGGAAACGUUAUGGUUAAGUAUGAAAAUAAGAGGAACAAAUCCUUCACACAAUUGCUAUAUAUGAAGUCAUAGAAAACCCAAGAAUAAGAACCAAAAAAAAGGCAUAUGAAACCCAAAAAUAAAAAAUGAAAUCUUUCAAGAAAGAAAACCUUAACAACAAAAGCCUUAGCAUAAUUUACUUCAGCAGGAGUGGGGGGAAAGCUCUGAAAGAGACUUCCUGUUAUGCGAUUUUGAAAUUCAGCAAAAAAGUACAAGAGCUACCUAUGCAGGGAGACUUCAGGUAAGCACUUCUCACAUCAAUGAUUUAACUCCUUUUAGAUAUAUGGUUCAAUCACAAAAAGUUUCUUUAGUUCAAUGCUUCUUUUCUAGUGGGGGAAAGAUCUCAGUGUCAUAAUGUAUAUGAGCCCUUCUUGAAUACUCUCCUAAGUCCUAAUUACGGAAUUGUUUCUUCCUACUUAUAAUUGCUAGGUUUUGAAUACUCUCCUAAUUAUGGAAUUGUUUCUUCGUAGUUAUAAUAGCUCAGUUUCAAAACACUCACCUUAAGGCACUUCCCAGCAAGCAAUCUUAAAAUCAUCAUCUACAUACUUCAAAGACUUUACAAUUUGCUUGCAUAAUUGGAACAAAGAAAGUGAGGAGAAAUGGAGUUGAAUCAAAUGGACAGGUAUGAAUAUCACAAAAUUAUAAGAGAAACUGUUCAUGAUUAUGAAAGUCAAACAAAAUAAUCAUCAAGCCAAAGGAAGCCUCCCAUAAACAAUGGCAUAUAGGAUUUUAAACUCAAACAAAUCCCUAGAUUAUUAUCUUGGACUUUAGUGAUUGAUGGUAAUAGAUAAACAAACAAACAUCCCAAUGGACAAUGGAGUUCAGUACCACGAAACUGCACAAGUCCUUAUCUAAGAACUUUGAUAGUACUAAGAUAGUUCACUGGCAUCCAACUCAUGCCAUAUACUAACAAUCUCCGAGUACGAGCAAAGAAAACUUGAAACUUUGAUUUCUAGAAAAAAGUAAAAAGAGAGAGAAACGAUUCAUGAUCUGUGUCUAAUUCAAAUUAGACCUCAUUGAGACGGGACUAUAUCGCCCGCAAAAAUGAUCCAUAGCCACACAUGAUCCCCAAAUGAAACAAACAUUACAGAAACCCGAGAUAGAGAUAGAGAACACAUACCAUCCUGGUAGAAAGGAGGAAGGACCAGAUUGAUCUUGGUACUGGUAUUGCUGGUAUUGCUGGUAUUGCUGUGGUGGUGGGGGUGGUGGAGGGUACCCUUCAUUGAAAUACCCCUGGUACCCUUGAUACGGUGGCCCUGGUGGUGGUGGUGGAGGAGGGUAUCCUGGAUAUCCCGGUGGUGGAGGGCACCCUGGUGGUGGCGGCGGCGGUGCUGAGGGGUAUCCUGAUGGCGGAGGAUAAGGGACUGAGUACCCUGUCAGAUUCAAAUUCAGCGCACACAGAUUUAAACUAAAAUGAAACCCAAUUUAAAAAAAAAAAUGGAAAUGAAAUCAUUGAUCAUAGUCCUGAUCAGAUAGUCAAUGGAGGGGUUUUACCUGGUGGGGGAUAGGGUUCUUGGGGAACUUUCUGGUAACUCAUUUGCCUGCUCCGGGUGGCUCCAAAACUGGCGUGUGUGAAGAGAAUCAGAGAUAGACCACACAAUAUAUACGGCAAGAAAUUAGGUAGAGCCGAUGUCUAUCGACUAUAUAUUAAGUUAUUAACGGCGGAGAAAAAAAGGGGCUUUCUGGUAAUUUAAUUCUACAAGAUCUCCGUUACAGUAACGUGGCGUUAUAUGAGAGGACAGGCUGUUCAAACAAUAUAGAUAUAGAUUGGAAAAUGGCACGAAGCCUUCCGGCAGUUGGACUUACAGGUCUUAGCGAGAAAGUUUGGCAAGAAUCAAAACGGUGCCGUUUCAUUAAUAUUAAUACGAGGUAUCCUAUUUAAUAUUUAUAGUUUUGGGAGUUUUUUUUUUUUGGUUUAAAAUUUAAAUUGAUUGAUUUUUUUUUUUUUAAAGUUGAAUCUCAUUAAGACCAUGUUUGGAACCACCCAAGUAUCAAUUUAAAAAAAAAGUAAUUAUAUAAUUAAUUAUUAUAAAAAAUUUAAUAUUAAAAAAUAUCUUAAAUUAAUUUUUUAAAAUUAUUAAUUUUCGAAUAUCUUGUAUUAAAUUUUAAUAUUUUAGCAUAUUUCAAACAUGCUUUUUUUUUAUAAAUAGUUUUUUAUUUUUUUCAAAUACCUUAUCUUAAAAUAAAAAUGAGGAAAUUUUGAUAUUUAUGUUAAAUUAUUAUUUUUUUAAUUAUUAGUUUUUAAAUGUCUUUUUUUUAAUUAUGGAAAAUAAAAAAAUAUAUUGUAAGUAAUUAUAUUACUAAUUUUGAGAUGUUUUCAACGUGCAAAAACAAAUUGUAACAAUACUAUAUAUCAAUAAAACCAAAAUAUUGAAUAUUUAACAUUAUUCAAAUGUCAAUAAAAAAUGAUUAAAUACCUAAUAGUUUUAUCGUGCCCAAAAUGAUAUUUUUGAGCUUGAUUCACAGGUUGGGAAAUUAUUUUUAAAAAUUUUCACUCUCAUAUUCUUUUGGUUAGGGGAAAAAAGACACAUGGAAAACUAAUUUGAGCACGAUAGGCAUGAUGAUGCCCAAUCCUCUUACACAAUGGGCUGAAUUGGCAUGGCAUUCGGCUGGAUUGGGCCAGUUGAAAUGGGCUGGGCUGAAAUUUUUAGGCUAAAGAAUUUUGGAGUUAGAUAUUGCAAAAGGCAUGUUACCGGCUUAACAAACUUUUGUGACAACUUGCUUCUUUCUGUCUAGAUAUUAAUCACUUUGGAUCCAAUAAGCUCUCGUGUCUUUAAAAUUCAUUUAUACAAUUGAAAGGAAGAUUUGAUGUUAAUUAUGACAAUUACCCUUUAUACGUCCAGCAGUCAUGGUUUUAUCUUAUGAGAUUGCAAAACCAAAUAAACAAUCGUUACUAUGGGACUAGACAAACAAAGUCUCAUGUUGAGUUGAAGAUCAAUUCUAACACCAUUUGUAACUAUUUGCUCUCUCUCUCUCUCUCUUAUUUACUCUAUGUCCAAUGGAGUUUCACAACUUUAAAACUCGUUUAUAUGUUUUAAGAAGAAUUGAUUACAUCAUGACAAAUUCUGCAAUGUAUUGGAAUAUAUAACACAAGCUUGGGUGGAAAAUGCACCCACUACGUAUAUAACAUCAAAAUCCUUUUUCCCUAUUUGAUAUGAGAUAUCACAAUAGAUGCAUUUUAAAGUCUAAAGUCUAUUAGGUCAAAACAAACAAUAUUUAUAUAGAAAUGAACAUGUCACUACAAAUGUUAUUAGGACCAAUAUUUGGGCCAAGUGUAGGACUCUAUUUGUUAUGUCCCAAGAAAUGUUUGUUUAUCUGGUCUAGUAAUCUUGUAGGACAUGACAAAGACAUCGUGUCAACAUGGGAGGAUGAUUGUGAUAUCUUACUUUAAUUGAUGACAUGGUAUAUAAUGGAAUUUUCUUAGGCUAUGUUUGAUUCUCGGAAUAAGAAAAAAAAAUAGAAAGGAAAAAUGAAAAAAAAAGUGAAGAAAAAUUAAAAAUAAAUUUAAAGUUGAUAAAUUAUUUUUAUUUAUUACUUUAGACUCAUUUCAUUUAUUUUAACUCAUUAAUGUAAAGAUUAAAUAAUUUAAAAAUAUAUAAAUUUUUAACUAGUUUAAAUUAUAUUUGAUUUUUUAAAUAUUUUUUAUAAGACAAUUAAAUAUAAAAAAUUAUUUUAUUUUUGUGAUAUUUCGAAUAGGUAAAAGGUAAUAUAUCCAUAUGAGUUUAGCAACAACGGAGAAGGGUUUGCAACCUGCCAUUUGAGCUCAUUCCUAUAAGGGAUUCACAUACUUAGAUUGAUAUAGAAAUAGUACUUCUCCAUCAAUCUUCUAAACAACACAGCCUAAGAAAUAAUGAAGGGACUCAAUAUAUCUUCUAUGGCGAAUCCUCUUUAAUGACACUUCGUAAUGCGUUGAAGGGAGAUUGCUUUGCUGCAUGUUAAAAUAAUAUUAUGAUCAAGGUACGUAAAGUAAAAGAAUGAUAAUGCCUUCAUCAUGGUAAUGAACAAACAAGAUCAAACCAAGUUCAUCGGUCUUCAAUUUGCAAACAUAGUAGAGAUGAGUAAAAUUCUUAAAACCCGGAGGUUUUUCCAUUCAAGUAGGUUUUGGAGAAGAACCUUGAAUCAUAUAGAUUGUCUGAUAAAAAUAAGUUUUGUCGUGCCCAUGUAAAAGGGUGUUUUCAGUAUCAUGUUGAUAUAAAGCCUAAUCGCGGGCGACGGAAAGGAGAUUGUAUAUGUGGGGUUCAAGUUGGUGGCCGAUUAAUGAGCCGACCUGCAAUCAUAAAAGCCUCCCACCUAAAAUCGUCUUGGGAACCUGCCAUGAUUCAUCAAAGAGUCUAAGACCAAGCUCUAAUAUGUGGGCGAUCGAUGCUUUCUUGCUAAUUCUAGCCCAUUCUUCUUUGGUGUAUGCACACAUGACAUAUAAUGGAUAAUUUUAUUUUUGGUUAAAUAUUAAUUAGUAAAUGAUUUCCCAACAAAUUAGCCACCUCCAUCCAGUUGAAAAUACAAAUCCCUCCGUUAAAUUGUAUGUGGAUCCUCAUGUGAAAGUUAAUAAGCUAGUGAGUGAAGUAAAAUUUCAAUUUUAGAAGAAAAAUCCAUCGAAAUUGAGAGUAUUCAUCAAUAAAUAUCUCCUAAUAUUGGAACCAUUAAAAGAUGAUAUAAGAGCAAAUCCUUAUAUCAUUUAAGCUUUAAAAUGGAACCUAAGAGUUUUGCCCGUUGACAACUUUGACAAAAGCUUCAAUUCAUAAUAAUACUAGAAAUUACUUUAGGUUUGUUUGGUAAUUGUUUUUUUUUUUAAAACAUUUUUUAGAAUAGUUUUUUUAAAUUACUUUUUUUUUUAUAUUUUAUGGAACAAAAGUCCAUUUAAGAACUUAAAAUAUUUGUAACUUAUUUUUAAAAAUAAUUCUUAUGUCCGAUGAUUUAUUUUUUAUCAUUUUAUAUGUUUGAAUAAUUAUUAUUUUUUAAAUAAUUAUAAAAAAAUAAGUAAAAAUAACUGAAAAUAAUUAAAAAAAUGUUAUCUUAAAAAAUAAUAUUUUUUUAUUUUUAAAAACAAAAAAUAUAAAACAAUUUGAUUAUUUUCUUUUAAAUAAUUAUCAAAAAAAUAAGUAAAAAUAACUAAAAAAUGUUAUCUUAAAAAAUAAUAUUUUUUAUUUUAAAAAACAAAAAAUAUAAAACAAUUUGAAAUCUAAACAUAUUUUCCUAUUUUUUUAUUUUAAAAAAUAGAAAACUAUUUUAAAAAUUAUUUUUGAAAAUAGUUGUGUGAACCCCGCAUUUCUACUCAAUGCGCUUCCACUCGAUGACGAACUCGAUUUUUGUUUGAAAAAAAUGAUUUACUGUUAUUAAGAAAAUGACUUAGAGUCGUCACUUAUUUUUGUUAAUAUUUUUUUAAAGAGUAAAACAAAAUAAGAAAGAAAACCCUAAGUAUGACUCUUUAUUUGGAAAAGGUGGUCUGUGAAAACCGGAUCACACUCGAGGGUUAAGUUACUUAUUGGGAAGGUACGAUAAAGACCGUAGCACCCCUCUAAGUCCCUAAAGUUGGGUUUCUACUAAUAAAAUGAAACUGACGUGGUCAUCGAUAAGAGAAUCAAUGAAUAUUGACAUGAUCACGUAUUGAAAGUCAAAGCAUAUAUGAAUGAUGGUCAGAGUGAGAAAAGAUGCGUACCUGAUCAGCAAAAGGUAACACGCUAUCAUAAAAUGGGGUUAGUGCAUAGUAAUAAACAUAAAAUAUGUCACUCAUAUCACCAAACAAGAGAAAGAACCACUAAUAGCACACAUGGUUUUUCAUUCGAAUUCAUUUUUAUUUUAAAGAAAAUUUAUUUGAUGUUGGGCACCACCAAAACCCAAUUUUAUUUUUGCAUGAAUUAAUUUCGUAAUUUUUAUUAAUUAGAAUCACAAAAUUAAAUUCAUACUUAUUUUUAAAAUAUUUUAAAAAUCAUGGAAGUUAUUGAAAAUUGCAUGCCGAAGAAAAUAACAGAAAAACUUUAUUAAAAAUGUGAUUUUUGGGGACCUAAAGACUCAAAGGAUGAAAAAUGGGAGAGUUGGGAUCAUUUAAGAAACUAAAGUCCUGAAAAUUAUAUGAGGAAAAGAGAUUUGGAAAAUUAUUUUCGAGAGCAAAGGCAGUGAGAUAGAGGAUGGUAUAUGGCCCAAAGAUGGCCAUGCAAACUAAAGUCAUGAAAGUGGGUCCGGAAUGUAAGUGCUAAGGAUGGAAUAGAUUUAUGCACUCCUCCCGCUUUAGAUCCAGGUAGACAACACACGGCUGUCGAGGAAAUUCAAACUCCACAACCUUGACUGAACGAUACUUGUAGGCCCGCUCCACGAAGCAACGGUAGAUGAGGGCAGUGUCCUCUGCAGCCAGGCUUCGCUGCCGAUGAGGGGCCUCGGCCUUGAAAAAUGGAGCCUCCAGCACAGCCUUGGAUGUAAGGCGUGAUCAAAGUCAUUGCAGGUUAGAACCUUCUUAAGCUUCCUGCAUGUCACAUAGGAGAACUGGAUGAAGCGGCCUAGGCGCGUACCAAGGAUUUCAUGUCGCUCCUCCAAUUUUGGGUACCGAGCCCUGGCCCACUUCAACACAAAAUCAUACACUGCAUCCUCUGACGCAACCUGGAGAUCAUCACUGGACAAAACUGCUUCAAUCCCGACAAGGGGUAAGGCCAUCGCUUCUUCUUGAAACUUGGUUGUGUCUUUGUAACGACUAGCAAGGUAUUGCUUGGCUACAUCUGUCAAAGGCUGAACUGCCUCAGCCAUUAGGGCACUAGAAGGAAGCUCUAGACCGAGCAAUGCAGAUUCAGGUAUCAUGGGUAAGUUCCUUAAGAGCCUGCUGCAGUGCCUCAUACGUGACACAACCUCAAAUUUAUCAGCAGCCAUCGGCACAUCCAGCGAACCAGGAGCUGUACUUGUGGACAGGGUAUUGCUAUACAUGAAAUUCAAGAGCUCCAUGAGAGCAGCUUCCUCAGACGCAUUAAUUCGUAAUGUUACACGCCUCUGCUCUGACUCCCUCAUCUCAUUUGAGAAGAGCUUGUAGAAAAAUGGACUUUUUGCAGCUAAAAUAAGGGGGCUAAUGUGUAGAGUUUUAAUUCUCACGACCGUAGAACAAUCCAUGUUCCAGGCUGAAUUAUUGCCAACUUCAGCUUCAUUACCUGAUGCAGAUUCUUCAAUCAUCGCGACUGCUUCUUUGUCGUCAUUUUCAGAGGCCACAACAUCAUCCACGUCAGGCUGGUUACAAUUUAAAAUCUGUUCUUCAGGACAAGUAACAAUAUCUGCACCGUUCUCCUUCUUGAUAUCCUCUCUCCUCCUCUUACGGUGCCUAGCCCAAUCAGCGAUGCUUGUGCAUCCCUCACCUUCAGACCUCGAAUCCUGCGCUCCCGCCAUGAUCUCGAUCCGCAGAAUCCGAUGGGAGAAGUUAAUGUCAUUGAAGGCGCAUCCGAAAUCGCAAGACGAAACCGUGGGUGUGGAUCCCGGUGAGGAAUCAGAAUCCAUGGCUGUUCUUGGGUCGAACAGAUCCGUGUUGGAAUCUCUCAUCUGGGGUGUAUUCCCUUUCUUCUCUUCUAUCUUCUUCCCUCUCCUCCAAACAUACAACUCUCUCCCUCCCACUCUCAGCUGGUAUUGAAACUCUCAGAAAAAAAAAACUUGCUUCCCCCCAAGCUUAAACUCUCUUCCCCUCAGUCUUUUCCUUAUCUCAAGCUAUCUCUCCUGAAGAAAUGCUCUGUUACUCCCCCACUUCCCCUAGGCUGUUCAUUCUGGUUCUCUCUCUAAAAACAAUGCUGUAACAAAACCAGUCAUCAUUGUAGGGACCCCUCCCUCUGGGAAACACGUGGCACGCACCUCACAGUGACACGCAGCACGUGUUAUCAGCCGGACCAUCAUCAUCCGGAUUCCCUUAAGGAUACGCAUGAUGAUGGUUCUCCUAUCCGGACCGCCUCAAGGAAAAGCACAUGACGUUUCAGCUUCUUCUGUCCAAGGAAGAGCAAACGACGCUGACAGAGCAUAGACAUCCGGACAACCUUCAUAAUGUAUCCGCUCCACUAUACAAUCCGGAUAGUCAGCAUGUGACCAUCCGGAUUUAAUCGUCCGGAUCAUCAAUUAAAGUAAAGCAAGCCUUACACGCUAUCACGACAACCAGCCAUGGUCCACGUCCCAUCAUCUGCAGAGUGAAAGGACGGGUCGAGGUGACAACAAGUCACUUCCUGCGAUCAUUCUACAUGAUCAUUUCCCACGAUAUCUAGACAGCAGCAUUACCUACCACGGUUUCUGACAGCCGCCAGUAGGGUGGCGAUGACCAUGCUGCCUCCGAAUGUCAUCAUGACAAACAUAAAAUAUCUCCUCGCCAUUAAUGAGAGGAACAGUACCCCUGAAGCUGUAUAUAUAUACCUUCGCACGAAGAAGAAAGGGAUCCCCCUGAUAACUUCUUAAUACCUGGUAAAAGGCCAACUGAUUUAUACCUCUCUCUCUGACCAUGGCUAACAAAACCAUCGGAGGGUGCGUCCGGACAUCCUGUCCGGAUGCCUUCUUGCAGGUAUAACGACUGGAUCAAGAACCUGUAUAAGUUGAAAUCACGCGUCCAUCCAUCUGGCAACUACGUGGAUCCUCAAAGACGCGAGGUAACAACAAUCAUCCCAUGUCCUGCUCUUUUGUUGGCAUCUCUAUGAGCUUCCUUUAACACGAACUUACUCGUCUUUGCCCUUCCAUAAAUCUCAACCCAUACAAGGCAUUGAUGAAGCAGUUACUAAGGAACUGGAGCAUCUCUUUGAGCAACAACAAACAGUGAAAGAGAAGAAAGAAAAAGAAAAAAAAGAAAAUAAUAAUCACGAAAGAUAGAGAUCCCAUGUAGUCUCAUCUCAAGAUCAAUCUAUGGGCUCAAAACAGGUGGGAUGAAAAAGGAAAUUAAAUCAAUUCAUAUGAAUCCAUGUACGUGAUAACUUCAAAUGAAACCCAAGAGAAUGAUAUAUUAGCAAGGCAAGCAUAUCUAAACAGCGAAUGAGAGUUAAACAAACAGAAAAAAGCAUUAAAAACAAUGUGAUGGGAAAAUAUGAACUGAAAAUCAACCAUGCCCGCACCUGGAAGAACUCCUCUCUAGCAGAAAUGAACAAGAAAACUCACAAGCUCCUCUUCUUCCUGGCUUCUUUGCUCUCCUUUCCUUUUUCCCCUACUUUUUCUCUCUAGCUAGUUACUCUCUUCUCUUUGCUCUGUUACCUUGCUUCCUCCUUUCUUUGGCCUCCUUCCCCAGCUCAAAGAAUACCCUCCAAAAAUAUCCCCAAAAACACCAACGAAAAACAACCCCCAACCCCCUGCAGCUUGCUGCCCCUAGCUAAACAAAUACUCCCUCAGAAGCUCCCGGACCUUUCCUCCUCCGUCUGGCUCCUUUUUUUUUCAAGAAAGAAUCCCCCUCCAAAAUAUCUCCAGCCAGCACGUCUCAGUAGGUAGCAGGAUACCUCUCCCUCUCAAGCAACUCAGAAAAUCUCCGGUCUCCUCUCCCUCAAGCCAAAACUUGCCCCUCUAACUUGCUGCCUCAAGCUCCAGUAAAACCCCCCAAAAAUAUCUCACCCAAAACGGCAGCCAAAAGCACCACCCUCCCUGGCAGCUGGCUACGCUCCCCUCUAACAGAAGAACACUUCUCGGAUUUCUCCUUUACAGGUGUCUCACUCUCAUUGCAGCCUGGAACCACUAAUGUGAUUCUCUAGCCCAUUAGGAUGCAGCAUCUGGCUCUUUGAGAGCCCUCCACCUGGCAAAAGUGAGCUGCAUGAAAAAUGAAAAAAACCAAGCCCCAAGAUGGGGGUCUACAAGUUGUCAAAACCCCUUGUUAUUCGUCGACCAAUAAACUACAUUAGAAACUUAGAAUGCACAACUUUGAUGUCAUAUAUCACCACUUUCUGCUCUUAGCCAGUUUGAAAAGAAUGCUACUUUCUUUGUGCUGAGCCAACUUUCUACGCUUCCGUAUUCUUUAUAAGAAAACCAUUUGAAAGAGAAUUGAGACACGUAUGGAUGGGCAGUUGACAAUUUGGCUAAUUGAGAUCAGAUUUUUCUUGAUUUAAUAAUCUAACCGUCCUAAACCAAAGCAAAUCAGAGAUGAAAUUUCAAAUCUUUAACAAAAACUCCCAAAAUGAAAUUGUCCAACCAAAAAUUGUUUAGCCACUCAUAAAUUUCAAGAUGGAACUCCUUCCUCAUAAUUGGUUUUAUAGGCAUGAAAAUGUAAUUUUUAACUGAUUUUCAUACUCAGGUAUGAAAAUGACUGUAAGCCCACUGCCAUCGCACAUCCCAGAAGCCAUGACAACUAUCAAUAAUUUACGUUGGGAGACAUUGAAAUAAAGAAACAAGAUUAAAGAAAAGGGCAGCUGUUCAAUUUAAGAAGACGCGGCUAAGCAACCGACUGGCUGAUUUAGUCAAGGCAUUGGGCUUCACAGUCACCCUUCUCUGCCCUUGAUUGCUUUUUUCUGCUUCUAGAAACGCUAAAGGAAAACUAUCUCUAUGCCUAAUACCAACCCCUUGUGACCGCUGGUAGUCUUCGACCUCCUAUAAAUAAUGGCCUCAGAUCUCCUCAAAAUUCCAAAUUAAUCUAGCUUCCAGAACCAGCAACGAUCUCGUCCUCACAAUUUUCAUCUGCUCCAACCAAAGAUGGACAGCACCACCCAAGGAUCGCAGCCUCUUUACCCCUCCUUGUCCCCAACCACGCCUGAGGAAACUGCCCAAGGAUCGCAGCCUCUUUACCCCUCCUUGUCCCCAACCACGCUUGAGGAAACUGCCCAUCAACCAUUAACAUCCCUGCCUUCAUCUUCUCCACAGCAGGUCAACCCUGAAGAAGCUCAGCCUCAUCAUCAAGCCGGUCCAUCGUCAUCAGCGCCGCCUGUUCCACCGUGUAAAGAGAACGCUGAGAAGUGGGGGACACAAAUCAUGGGGCCUCCCGCAGUCCCAACAUGCCACCCAGACAACAAGAAGGCAGCGUUGUGGGGUGCUGCUCAUGAUCAGCAAAACAACCACCAUCAUCACCCUUAUCUCCAGUACAACCCCAUUGAAAAGCCGAGCAGCAGCCCUAUGGAAUCUGUUCUCCAUAUGUUCAACUCCUGGAGCAACAAGGCUGAGAGCACCGCCAACAAUAUCUGGCAUAACUGUAUGUUUCUUUUUUCUUCUGCUUUCGAUUUCCAUGAAAAACGCCUUGGUUUAUUUACCAUUUGUUGCCAAGUCAUUGACAUUUUUGCUUUCGAUUACCAGUGAAAACGGGGCCAUCUGUAUCCAAAGCGGCUUGGGGGAAGGUGAAUUUGACCGCCAAAGCAAUAACAGGAGGUGGGUUUGAGUCCUUGUACAAGCAGACUUUCGCAACUCAUCCCAGCGAGAAGCUGAAGAAGUCUUUUGCCUGUUAUCUUUCCACAUCAACUGGACCAGUAGCUGGAACUCUUUAUCUCUCAAAUAUUCAUGUAGCUUUCUGCAGCGACCGCCCCUUGUCCUUCACUGCACCAUCUGGCCAGGAAACUUGGAGCUACUACAAGGUGAGAUAAACUGUUACAACACUAGUAUUAAAAUGAUCAGCCACACACGGACACUACAAACAAAUUCUUAGUUUUACGAAUUGACAUAUUUACUUGGAACAGGUCAUGGUACCUUUGAGCAAAAUCGGUACAAUCAACCCUGUAAUCAUGAGGGAAAAUCCAUCUGAAAAUGAAAAUCCAUCUGAAAGAUAUAUCCAGACUGUCACAGUGGAUGGGCAUGAUUUCUGGUUCAUGGGUUUUGUUAAUUAUGACAAAGCAUCUCAGCAUCUCACCGAAAGCAUGACAAAUUUUAUAGCAACUGGCAUAGCAGUACAGCCGCCCGUUGCAUAACAUAAGAGUGGAUUAUUGUCUUCCUUUUUAAGUUUUCUUGGGCUCCAGCCUUUUUCUGAUAUGAGAGAUCGUCUUCUCUUCCAUAUUUUCCCCUUUCUUUUCAAAUUUUUGUUAUAUAUACGUGUGUAAUAAUGACAUAGCUAUGUUUCACGGUUUUUUUUUUUUUAAUAUAUAUAACAUUUUAUUCUCAUUGAAUAUGUUUUGAUGCUGAUACAUUUAAAUUAUACUUUCGGUGAGAAAAAUCAGAGGUGGAUCUCCAAUAUCACUAAUCUCAUCACAAGUAGGUUGCAAAUGCCCACAAAAUAAAAUAUGCAUCCUUUCUUCGGGUACAUCAUUCAGACCAUGAUAAAGAACAAGACUCAAUCGGUUACUCUUAAACUGUCUCUGUACAUCCACGUUCAACUUAUGUGCAACUUACAGCAUCAUUACCUUCCAAUAAUUCCUGGCUCUACAGAGUACAACAAACAAUUCCUUGAUUAAUUUCCAGUUCCUGCUGUAUUCCAAAUGCUCUACUUGUCAAUGGAUACCGUUAUUUUUUACCACAUACAGUGUUGGUUUCCUAUUUUACCGUGGGAUUUCUCUUUAUUAUUCCUGAUAUAUAUUUUAAAAAAAGAAGGCAAUCCGAAUUGUUCAGCAUGCCAAAUAAUUCUUAAUCUCCAAAACUAGUGUCCCCAACCACUAUAAACCCUCCAUCAAAUGGAAGGCAAACCAGAGGAGUCCUCACUAUAUCAAUCAGGGACCAUAUCAGAGUCCUAGUCAGGGCAUUAGAUAAUAACGAAGGGCAAAGGUAUCCAAUGCAAAAUUUGUAGUCACCAGAUAUGAAAAAUAUACAAAGUCAAAUAAAACAUAAAGAUUAAAUCCCUUCUGGCGGGCGCUGACCAACCAAUCUGCUCAUCUUGAACUUUCUAAUUAGAAGCUACCUAUUCUGAAGUUCUCAAAAACAGUCAUGAAUUCAGGGCAAGAAAACUGUGACAGGUCAUAAUAGGGGAUGCUCUUUGCCCAACCCAAUCACAUAUAUGCUACCCAAUUGUUUUGUUUUUCAGCUUGAAUGGUUAACGCUUCUUCUUGCUUCCUUUCCCAGCACCGGAUUUUGAUGGACUGGCGACCAGAUACACAAAGACAGACACAAUGGAGAUCACAGAGAUCUGGGACCCAUAUUUUGCCAACAACCUCUGCAAAUAGAAAAAGUUGAAAGCAAUGAAAAAGAAGGAUUUUAUGUCACAUUGUCCUAAUUUCAUAAAAGAAAUACUUGAGGCAUGAUAAUAUACCAUUAAAGAAUGGUGCCAAUUUUCAAAAGAACUUAUUUGAAGGGAAAAAGAAUUAAGGCACUAGCUUCUACAUCACCAACAUACAUGUGGUCAUUUUGCUAUCAUUUAACAGUACCACUUUCAGAUGUCGUCAGGCCAAGAUUAACCUUUAAAGAUGAUUGUAAUGCUACAAGUGAAACACAUUUAUCCUUGCCUUUGUUGAGGGACAAGAUGACCCAGGAAAUUGAGAGCAUGCAACUAUUUUUGUGGUCAUUUUUACUAUCAUUAAUGGCACCUAGUACCAAUGCCUAACCAUUCCCAUGCAAGUUUUAACAACCUCUUACAUACUCUAGGUAUUUAACCAUUGGGAGAAUAACAGGAAUGAGUCAUACCUUAGCCUGCAAUUUGACCACCAUCGAAGAUAAUUCCAUGGAAAAACAAAGAAAAGGCUUAAGUCAACACAGAAAAAGGUGCAUAAAAAGAUAAUGAUUAAUAUAACUGCUACUUUUAUGGGAAACUUACCCACUCAAACUUCUUCUCUGGAGGUCUCACUGCAAGGAUAUCUAAAGGUAAUAUUGGAGUUGAAUAUGCCUCCUAAAAACAGGCAAAAGUCAAGAGAUUAGAAAUUCUUCACAUGAAACGAGAAACAAAUCAUAAAUAAAAAAUGUCAAACCUGCAGAGCAGCCGUGGUAGGGAUGCGGAAUGUAAUGACUGCUGGUGCACCAUAAAACAUUCCUUCCACUUUGGACUCCAAUUCAAAAGCAUGUGAUAGAAGACCACCACUGCAUGUUAUACAUGUUUAUACUUACAAAAAAAUAAACAACUAAAAAAUUGGAACACAUGGUUAUGUUAAGUGAUUGCUAUUACAAAGAGGAACUCACGCAUCAAGCCUUUCCCAUGAUGUUGAAGUGUUGCCACUGACAAUAUUAAAUACAUCUUGAGACCAGCUAUCAUCAGUGAGACUUACAUCAUACGCAGUCCUACAAAUUUUAACAAGAGAAAACCAAGAAUGCAUGAAAAUUCUAUAUAAGCAAACAUGAGAAAAUUUUAAAAUUACCCAAGUAGAUGAAAUUGAUUGUAUAUAAAUUGAAUUAUUGAACAUGAAAAAUUAAAUAAAAAUCUACCUAAAGAUGAAAAUAGAGAUAUACAAAGAGAUGGUAGUUUUUCGAUUCCUUUACAUACAUACACACAGUAGGUGGGAGGCAAAAAUAAGUAAGAGCAUUCAUCAGAAACAAGCAUUUAUUGCAAAACAUCAGUAAAGGCAAAAUGUUCCUUCCAAGUUCCACAAAGUAAAAGGGCUAAAAGGAGCAAAUACCAUUCAUUGUUAAACACCUCAUCCAUAGAAUCAAUAUAAACAAAAUGAUGCAAUGAAGAUCAUGGUCCCAAUAUUUUAUUUUAUUUUUUUGAUAGGUAAGAACAAAAAGCGUAUAUAAAUAAAGGGGAGACCCCAAAACAGCGCCCCCAAGUAUAUAGGAUGUAUAUAGCAGAAGCCUAAAGGCUCACCCAAGAGGGAAAGGAGAAGAAACAAAAAACAUCACCUGCCCUUACUUAGAGCUUAACCAAUCAAUGAAACUAACAAGAGAAUUUGGGCACAUAUCUACAACACCAUCCCUAUAUUAAAAUGCAGGUUGGUAGAAGAUACAACUAGAUUCCUUGGGUUCACUCAAUGUCUUGCCAUAUGUUACUUCAAUAGAUACUAGCUAAAAUAAUUUCAAGAUUCCUAGGGAAGUGUCUGCAAGAUAUAUGCAUGACGAGAUCAAGGUGACCGCAAGAAAAGGGAAGUUGCCGAGAAUAAAUUAGCAUAGCCUCAACCCUCAAACUGAAGAGUUUGAUGACAAAACCUAACCAGUAUUAUGUUGCAUACCUCAAUUCAAACACCUGCUAAUAUGAAUAUUCACUGAACAAAUCUAACAGGUUUCUCUUUUCACUCAUCUAAUUCUACCCAUUACAAAGUUCCCCCACAUAAAUCCUUACAUAUUUAAGAUGUAGUUUUCAGUCAAUCCAAUAUUCAAAUCUUAGAUUCCAUUUUUUCAAAAACUAAAUUCUAUAUCAGAACCAGAAAAUCUCUACAAUUUCAGCUGUUCCUAAACACCCUUUUCAGGCUAUUCCCUCAAGAUUACUCUCCAAAAACCAAAUCCAUCCUUAUACAAAAUCACAGACAUUAAGAAAACCUCUUCUUUUCUCACCAUCAAACUCUUCCUUCAGGAAUUCCUACUUCUUCAUGAAAAGACAAUACCAAAAGGGUUAUCAAUUGCAUCACACAAAAGAGGACAAAGAAGAAUCUUCUAAAGCAUACCUAAGAAGUGCUUCCCCCGUAUUAGAGCCAGACUUAGAUGACUCCACACCAUAAAAGAUCUUUCUUCAAACAAAAUACAAAUCAAUUAUGAAAUUAGAGAAUCCCAUCAAUAACUUGGCAAUUCUUUUUCUCUCAACUAUGUCAGAUAAAACCCAAUACACUGAAGGGCAUUUUCUAAACAAGUGAAGGAUCCAUACAAAGCAAUUUAAGUAACCGAAUAAAUGAACAUUUACAUUCCGUAUCAACUCCAAAAUCAGGAAAAAUAAAUUGAUCCCAACAAUUAAAUAAAGCAAAAUCAUAGAUAUAUACACAACAAGUGUUUCACAUCACAUUACAUAUUCGAUAGCACAAUUGACCUAAAUCAAGGCAAUAAUCAUGAAAAUAAGUGUCAAAAAAUUGCAUCUAUAUUUACUUAUAUGACCAGGAACAGUAUAACAUGAAAAUAAUCCCAUUAUCUUUUAUUCUUUCCUCACAUGUCUUUAAAUAGGGAAAGAAAGGUUUAAAAAUGCUUAAAUUUUUAGAUAAUCUUUACUAUAUGAAGUUUUCCUUCGCAGUUUCCAUCCCAAGCAAACGUGGGAAAUGAAGAUUCCUUCAAGAAAAAAAAGAAUACACAUCUUAGUAAUUUCCAAGAUCCAAUCGAAGCUUACAAUCAAACACCAAAAUCUGAUCUCAGAUCACAAGCAUCCAUUCGCAGAUCCAUCCGAUAACUUUACGAAGUAGAAUCACGAACAGAAAUUUUAAAGAAAGCUAAUUCAAAUAUAAAAUAUUUGGAUCAGAGAGGGCAGAUCCACAUAGUUAACAUAUCAGAUCUAACAGAAUGAAAACGUACGUGGAUCCUUGAUUGUAGAUGUCGAUGGACACGGAGACUCGCUCGGCGCCGGACUUAAGCCUGGUGAGAGAGGCCUUCUUGUGGGCCACAAUGAACGGAACAUCUGAGCUCCCGAGCGUCGACGAAACGAGUAUCAGAGCCACGACUACAGAGAUCAGAGUCUUCGCCAUCGCUUAUUGCUUCGGCUCAGCGCACUAGAUGGCUCGAACAAGGUGAACGACUAGGGUUCGUCCCUUACCAAACCCAGAAUACAUAUAGGGUUUGGUUGAAUUUUCUUUGUCAACGACGACGAGGGCCCCAAUGUGAGAAAGUAAAACGCUGUCGUUUUAACUUCACCCUUACGUAGAAUCAAAACGACAGCGUUUUAUUCGCUCUUUCCCACUCUCUCAAUUCUUUUUUUCUUUUUUUUUUUAACGUUAACAUUAUUUUAUAAAAUGUUAUUACCGCGACUUUAACAAUAAAUUUAAUAAUUUAAAAUAACUUAAUAACUUAAUUUAAGUUAUUAAAUAUAUUUGAUAAAAUAAUUUAAUGAUAUAAUUUAAAGUAAAAAAUAAUUUUUAAAUAAUAAAUAAAAAUAAUUAAUUUAUUUUUAAAUUCACAUUUUUAUUUAAUCUUUUUAUUUUUGUUUAUCUUAAUUAUCUCUAAAAUCUCUUUUAUUACUCUACAACCUCCAUUGUUACUCAACAUUAUUUAUUAUAAUUUUAAUUUAUAAGAAUAAAUAUACUAUUUAAUGAUUUAUAAUAAAUUUUAAGUUAAUUUUACCAAAUAACCCUGUUACUUAAAAUAAGAAUUAAAUACUAAGUUUAAAAUUAUAAUUUAAAUUAAAUCAUUAAUUAAUAAGUAUUAAAUUUUACCAAACGCUAUCAGACUUAUAUAUUGGUUAUAAGAUAAACAUGUAAAAUCAAAACCAAAUUCGAGUUUGAUAAACUUUAAUAAUAUUAAAACAAAUAAUUCAUUUUGAUAAAAUUUAACAAUGUCAAAAUAAUAUUUUUUUUAUAGUGUUUUCAGUAAUAUAUUAUAUAAUAAAUGUUUUUUUUUUUAUAAAAAGAAUCUACUAUGAGUUAUUGUACAAUAAUCACUUUAAAUUAUUUUUUCUAUUUUAAAAAAUUUAUCACAUAUUUAAUUUUUUAUAAAAUAGCUUCCAAGCAUUAGUCAUUUUUAUCUCAAAGAUAGAUCGAAUUAGCUCAAUUUUAUGUAUGUUUAGAUGAGAAAUAAAUUUAUUAUAAAUUAAUAAAAUUAACAUAAAAAAUAAUAGAAGAUAACUAAAAUAUAUUAUAUUUAUUUUUAUCUUUUCUCUCUUUUUUUUUAAAUUACAUUUAAAUUUUUCUCAUGAAUUAUUACAUAAGAACAAUACCAAUAAUAUAAAAAUUAUUUGUAGAAAGUUUCAAAAUGGGAGCCAAAAUUUAGCAUCUAAAACCAUAAUGUUGCAUCAUAACUCAUCUAUUCUCAACAAAAUUAAAUCAUGGAGUGUUCGUGGGAAUAAAAAGUGAUAAUAGACAUCUCAUUUCUUCCUUUUACUAUUCCCAUGUUUGGAUAAAUUUUAUUAAAAUAGGAAUAAAAUAAAAAAUAAUUUUGGUAAAAAUCAAAUCUCACUUAUAUAAAUAAGAUUUCAAUUCAUUGCAAGUAGGUAAUAUUAUGAUUCAUUUAUUUUAUAAGAAAAUAUAAAAUAAUCUAAAAUUACUAUUUUAUCAUUUGAUUUCAUUCAUCAAAAUGCCUCUUUAUCUGAUAAUAAGACUUUUUUUUUUAGUCUUAUUAUUUAGUAAAAAAAAAACACUCUCAAAUUUUAUUUUUUUAAAUGAAAAAAAAUAUUUUAAAUUAUGUGUAAGGGUAUUAUUGUAAGUUUAAAUUAUUACUAAAUAUUAGGACGAAAAUAAAUAAUUAUUCCAAUAUUAAAUUCCUAGAUUUAUCCAAACAUUAAAAAUAAAAUUAUCAAAUUCAUUUCCAUUUACCAAAAAAUAGGAAUGAAAAAAAUAUUUAUUUCUAUUCCUUACCAAACACCCCCUAAAAUUCUAUAGUUUCCUCAUUAAAAAUGACAAUAAUAUCACUAAAAUCAUAAUUUUUGGAUUAGAAAUAAAUUUAUAGAAAAUUCUCAAAAUUGAACCUCUUACCAUACAAUAAAACAAAAAUAAAUUACCAUCUUUUCGGACAAAAUACUUUUAAUCAAACUCCAAAAUAUAAUUUAUACUUGUCUAAAUAUCCAAAUAAUCAAUAAUUUUCAAUUAACUAAAAAAAUAAAAAAUUAGGAUUUGAUGUCUUUUACUAAUUAAAAAUUUAAAAAUUAAUGGAUUAAUCUCAAUAAUGUAAUUUCAAUAACAAAUUCAUAAAUCCAAAAAAUAUACUAAUCAAUAAAACUUAGAAAAUCUCUAACAUUUUCUUAUCAACAAGCAUAACUAGAAAACAAUAAUUACCAUCUAAUUAUCAUUUUAUUACAUAAGUACAUAAUUUUUUUUUAUUAUAAAAUUUUUAUUAUUGAAAUAAAUUUUGGUAUUUUGGGAUAUUUGGAAAUAUAUUAAUUUAUUAUUUUUUAAUUAUUAAUUUUUUAUAACUCAAUUUAAAAAACAUUUUUUAGUUUUUAUUUCCUAUUUGAAAAAGAAAACAUUUUAUUUCUUAUUUUGUUUCUGUUUUUUAAAAUGCAUUCCGAUUAUGAAAAGUGAAAACUAUUUUGAAAAAAUAAAAUUUGUAAAAUCUUGUUUGGGGUUGAAUUUUCCACUAACAAAAAAAAAGUGAAAAAAAAUAUGAUUAAAAAUUUAUAUAAUAUACAUAUCAUGAUAUAAGAUAUAUCAUUAAAAAGGAUAAUAUAUUUGCUAUAUAUAUAUAUGGCUUUAUUAUUAUAUUGUAUCUGUUCAUUAUUUUUUAUAAUUUUUAUUUUAGAAUAAUUUGAUAAAUAUUUUAAUAUAAAAAUAUAUUAGUUUAUGAUAAUACAUAGUCUAAUAAAUAAAUAAAAUAUUUAUAUCAUAAUUCUAAGAUAAUAUUUGAUUUCAAAUAUAUAUAUAUAAAAGGUCUUUUAUUUUAUUAUUAUUUUUUUUUUGUUUUUAAUAGUUUAAAAAACAUUUGUUACUUCUUGUUAAAGAAAAACAUUGAAAACAUCAAAUUGGUAUUUUCAUUUUUUUCAGCUCAAUUUUCUAGAAAAUAGAAAAAUACCAUCCAAAUAUGUUUUCCAUCUUAAUUUAUAAUUUUUUUUUUAAAUGAAAAUAGAAAACAACCUAAAUAAAUAGAAUCUAAAUAUUCCUAAAACAUGAAAUGUGAAUCAAAUUCAUAUUUGAAUUGAAAUUGAGAUUCUGAAGUUAUUUUCUUCCUUUGUGAUGUAAUAUUCUUUCCCUUUUCGAUAAAAGGAUUCAUAUUUUAAAAAGGUUGAAAACAAGGUCUUUCAAAAUCGACUAUUUAUCCUUCAAAUAGAUCUAUACAUGGAAAAGCAUGGAUGCAUUCGUUAUCAGCAUAUUUUGAGUACCAAACUUAGAAUUCAGAUAGUCUUUUUCAAGUUAAUCUUUGUUUUUUCCACCUUUGUAGCAUAGAAUACAAAUAAUUUCAAGACGUAGUUAGGAUUUUUAGAUAGGAUGCAGAGAAUUUGGAUGCAAUCUAUGUGUAUUUCAAUGUCUUGUGGAAAAAAUAUGAAGGAGAAAAGAAGUUUGUAGUGGUGCACAUUCCUGAUGUGAGCAGUAGAUCGAUGGUUUACCAAUAUUGGUGAGAUAGUGCAGAGCAGUGUUAUAAGGAAGACAUGGAAUGAAGGAACAAUGGAAUAUUGGUGAAGAAGAGAAGGCCUAGCAUGAAAGAGAAGUGCCUGUCAAGUUAGCCAAGGUGACUGCCUGAGGACCACACAGGGGUCUAUAAUCUAUAUCCCCACGAACCACUCGGGAGGAGCAGGCAAGUCAUCCUUGGCUACCACACAAGGCGCUUAUCUUCAUGUUAUACCUCUCUUCCUCUCAAAUUCACUCUGCAAUGUCCUGCUAAUGAGGGGCUCGGGCCGAAGAAGAGAAGGCCUACCAUGAGAGAGAAGAGCCUGUAAAAUUAGCCAAGGUGACUGCCUGGAACCCAAACAACCGGAUUCAUGAUAUAUCAAAUAUCAAACACUACUUGGAAAAAAGAAAGAAAUUGACCCACUUGGGAUAGGGCAGGCAAGUCAUCCUUGGCUAUCAGACAAGACUCUUAUCUUCAUGUAAGACCUCUCUUCCUCUCAUUACUCAUGCUCCAACACGACGCUCCGAAUGUCUCCAUAUAUAGGCCAAUGAGAGAAUAGAGACCAGAUUCGUAUCGCCACAUGAAUUUUCGGCACCCUCUUCUCUCGUCUUUUUGCCUUGUCCAUAACCUUUUUUUUUUCCUUUUUUUUCUUCCACCUCUCAUCUGCGUUAUAGCUAGGUGCCCAUAAAGGAAUAUAUUCUUCUACAGUUGCAGGGACCCCAUUGUAUUUAAGUUCAUGACCUACCAGCUCUACGGUGGGGAUGCAAUUUCCAGGACAAAGAUGAAAAAACCCCUCAUUAAGAAUUCAAUUGUGGCACUGCUCUCCCUGCCACAUUGCCCAAGCAACUUGCGCUGAGCCCAUUUUUUGGCCCCACCUUUUCCUCCAUCAAGAGUUGCUCGAUUUAAUAUGAGCUACCAAAGUUUUGUCCACUCCCCCAUCGAUUCAUUAAAUAUUGAGAUGCCAAUUUUGGGGGCUCGGUUACGGCCCUGUGAGCUCAAGCUCAGCUUGGCUCACCUAAAGUGGAUUUUUCCACUGAAAGAUUCCGAUAACUCCGGGUCCAAAUUGCUGGAUUUUGAGGCUAAUUCGACACUGUUUUUUGAGUAAAUAGUGAUUUAACAAGAUUAAAUAGGAUCGUGGAGCUAAAAUUUAGCUAAAUAAAUAUGAAUGACAACUUGCAGACGGCUAAAAAGCAGCAACACCGAACCAUGGCUAGCUACUCUUAUCUGUUUAUGUGGAACCAAGCUCUGAGUUUCUUGAUCCUAUCCUCAUGUAUGGUCCUGUCUGACGACCUGCGUGCUCUUUCCAGUAUUUUCUGACCUUCUCAGUGGCUUGAUAUCAGAUAUGGCUUUGACCUCAUCCCAAAGGCCGGCAAGAAAAAAGGGAAAGAAAAAGGGAAAAAAAGGAAGAAAAAAGCACAAAAUCUAUAUAAAGAAUAAAGACGUGUAAUUGAUUGUUGAUGAGGCCCUGACAAGAAGAGAUUGCGGGGUCAUGCAAUCCCUUCAUGUCCUCUACUUUAUAAGCUCAGGAUUCCAUUGGCGACAUCAGCCCAUUUGACACGCCCCACCCAUAAAGUAAAGUCAAUCCCUUUAUUUGUUCUCAUUGGAUCUAAUUUCUGACUCUCGUCAUGCAUGAUGCAUCCUAUUGAACCCUUUUCUUUUCUUUCCUGCAUAGUCUCUGCAAGCAGGCUAAGAAUAUAAGUAUAUAAUGGAGUUUCAUGCUCCCAAGACACCCAAGUUUUUAGGUAAUUUUUCCAUUAGCAUCGUUAAAAAAAUCAGCCUCUUAAUGGGCAAUUAGAAAAAGUAAUUCUGCUGUAUGGGAAUCUUUAAUGAUCGUAAAACUUUAUGGAUCGGUCAAACAAUAAGGGAAUUUCUAAAAUCAUGCCCCACGAUAAAGGAGAAAGUAUGGGAACCUUCCCUAUUUAUAUCAGCAUACAACCACCUAUUUAUAUUCGGUCAUUUAAUUAAAAAAUAAUUAUUUUCUAAUUUCAUUUAUUUUUAAAUUUGAUUUUCAUAAUAAUAAAUUUUUUAUUUCAAUUUUUAAUUUAAAAACAUUUCGAAUAUGGAAAUGGAAAUGGAAAUGAAAUUGAUUUCGCGGGCAUAUUUUAAGCAUAUUCCAAAGGAAAUCACAAAUAAUGACCCAGAGCCCAUCACCUGAUCCAGGGAGAUAAAUCUUAGCCUACACCCAUGUAUGCAAAGUCCAACCCAUGGCCCAAUUUCUUCCUUGUUCAUCGAGUCCAAUAAUUUGGGCCUUGAAACGGCCCAAGGGAGGGUGUCAGCGCCAGCUUGGCCAAAAAGCGAGGAUAUUUUCACACGUGGGCCCCACCUAUCAUUAUUCCCUGGCCCAUUACGUGUACGGACUUUUUCAAGCUUAUCAUGAGCUCAUAUACAUCUUCUCUCGCUUUCGGGUAUUAGGAUUCUGAUUUAAAUUUCUGUAUCAACUUCUCUGAUAUUUUUAGUAAGGUUUGAUGUGAUUUUUUUAUCAGGUUCCACAAAAAGUGAAGAAAAAAAAACGUAUCUUCUUCUAAAAAUGGAAACCACGUCUAAAUCCAGACCCUCUGCGGCGGUUCCCUGCGAUUUCUGCGACUCAAAAACGGCGGUUGUACACUGCAGAGCCGACUCUGCAAAGCUCUGUCUGUUGUGCGAUCGACAUGUGCACUCGGCCAAUGCCCUGUCUCGCAAGCACCUCCGCUCACAGAUCUGUGACAACUGCAGGACCGAACCGGUGUCCUUUCGAUGCUUCACCGACAAUCUUGCUCUCUGCCAGAGCUGCGACUGGGACUCUCAUGGUAAUUGCUCAGUCCCGUCUCUCCACGAGAGGACUCCCGUGGAAAGCUUCUCAGGGUGUCCCUCUCCACUCGAGCUCGCUUCUGUGUUUCGAGUGGAUUUGAAGGAUGGGAAUUGGAGUAGUUGGAAUUUCGGGUCGGUGAAUGUUCAGGAUUUUGUGGUUCCGGGCGAGAAUUGCUAUGCUGGGUGUGGUACGAAAGUAGAGAAGAACGGGAUAAGCGUGGUGUAUGAGCAAUUGGUGGACUUAAUACGGAGCGAUGUGGAUGUGGUGCGGGGGGAUGUGGACGGAGAUGGAGAUGAGGGUGAGGAUGGUGCUGAACUGGGUCCAGGGACGCCGGGUAGGUGUGCUAAUAUGGGGAAUUUUCAAGGUGUUGAUUUAGAUAAUGGUGAUGAUGAAGAGUUGUUGCGGCAGCAAACGCCGUUUACGUCUUUGCUUAUGUUGCCGACGCCUGUUGAUGCCAGAGACACUGGCUGUGGUUAUGGUUGCGCAGUGGAAGGAGACGCUAUGUGGGAUCGUGGCCACCUUUCAUAUCAGGCACCCCAGGUUUUGUAUUCGACAUUGUGAUGAAUUGCUUCUUGUCUCUUCGGUUUCUCUAAUUGUAGUGCUAUGAGAUUAUACUUAAAAGUUAAACCCCACAAUCAAACAAAAAUCAUAAUUCAAGUGUGUGCACAGUUGCAGUAGCCUUGGAAUGAACUUCCAAGCCCUUUAUUGCUUCUCUAUAAAUUUUCCAGUCAUGUGGCAUUUAAGGAGAAUGCUAGUUUUGGGGAUUUUUUUUUUUUUACUUUCGAGCAAGAUAUCCUCUAAUCAAUUCCAAUUUUUCAUCUAGCUGUCUAGUUUCAUGUUUGUUGUGCUGAUAACAUACUGUGAUAUGGGUAUUCGGUAUGUGGAGGCCUCUUUUCCAUAUUUAUAGUGUAUGUUCUGUGAAAUGUCAUUUCCUAGUGGCAUAAAGGUGGAUGGAUGAUCUUCCCUCUCUUCCUUUGGCAUCUGCUAGUAAUAGAGCAAGCAUGAACCAACAUGGGAACACACCAUGAACUUGUGGAAUUGUAGGUUGUUGCAUAGAGUUGUGAAAAUCAUGGUUGGGUUUUGGGUGAUUGGAAGAGUUGGUGUAAGUUUAGUUUUCAGUAGAUUUGUUGGGCUCUGCAAAAAAAUUUCAGCCAGCAAAGGUUUUUUUUUCAUUACCCACUCCCAACUCUAUUGCCAGCAAAUCUGGCAGUUUGGGAUAAUGCCUGUACAAACUCAGUUGUUUGCUAUCGUGGUACCUAUCUUAAGUGUAUGCGUAAAUAUACUAAAGUAGUAUUUGCAAUGUAUGUUUCUGUAUUUGGUUGAAAAUUUAGCAGUUGCAUUUCUGUUUGUGUAAUCUUGUCCAAUGUAAGGGCACCUUAUAUGCUUUAUAUUGGACUCAAAUUAGAAACAUGUGCUGCUGGUAAUCUUCAUUUGUACCCUCACAGAUAUGGGAUUUUCAUUUGGGAAGAUCAAGGAUUUGCAAAGAAACUAGUCCAGAAGCAGGAUACGAUGUGGACAAUUCUGGUUUUGUGAUCAAGAAUUACAGUGAAAUUACCAAGGGAUCUUCCUUGACAAGAACAAAAGCGUUACAAGGCAUGUAUGAGAUGAAUUGCACAACAACCCAUGAGGAUAUCCUGUCAAAAAAUGUAAGCCAUUCUGACUUCUGUGAGAUAUAUGAUUAGAAAUAUCAUCAUUCAAAUCAUUGCCAAAGAACAUUCAUACACUAAUGAGUUUAGUAUGUGACAAUUAACAAUGGUCAACUUGCUACUUGAUCUGUCAUGCAGGCUGUUCUGGUUGUGACUCAUGAUUGGAGAAAUAGGAUGAAGUUACUCUUAUGUACUUGUUCCAUUCAAUUAGAGUACAUGGACACAUAAUGGUUAAGUUCAAAUUAUCAACUUAUGCAAGAUAUGUUUUAAAUUUAGUUGCAAUGUUUAUGGUGAAAAUCAGAAAUUUUAUUCAGUCAAGAGUUAUCCCUGUUAGGCUUCUCUUUAAAGUAUGCCAAUGUUUCUCUAGCUCACCAUUUAUGUGACAACACUUGGUUUGUAAACCUACAUUUCUUAGUAUCCUUUAGGUGAUAUGUAGCAGUAUUUGGUUACUCUGUAAUUUGGUUUCUCCAGGGUUCUUUAAAUUAAGGAAGAAAAAAAAAGAAGAAUCGUUUAUUUUGUUUGACUAUUUCUUGAAAUUUAAGUGCCCUCUGGGACAUGGCUCUAUGAUUUACUCCAAGACUGGUGGUUUAGGCACUCCUUUGAACCAUGUGGCAAUCUGUAAGGGGUUAGAAUUUUGUUCAUGCUGCCCUUUUGAGAAGCACACAUCGCACUAUUGCUGUGAGUUCAGUGAAGAUACAGGAACUCCUGAUGGAGGAAAUGGGAUUGGGGUUAUAGUGGCCCCAUUUCUCAAAAAUGUGAACAAACAAAGGCUCUAUGUAUAAUAUCAGCCUAAGGAACUCCUGAUGGAGGAAAUGGUAUUGGGGUCAUGGUGAUGGUGAGCCUACUUCUCAAAAAUGCAAGCAACAGAGGCUGUAAACGGGUUUGCAGAUCUCAGUCUCUUAUCUAUAAUAUUAGUCUUACUAUUGACAUAACAUCAUAGUUUAUGAAUUUAUUUGUUCUUUCAUGGAUUGUUUUUAUCACAGCUGGUAUUUAUAAGCCUGAUUAAAAAAAAUGCAGAGUCAUUCAAAUAAAGCAUUGUCAAGCCAGGGACCAACGACAGCAGAGAGCAACAACAUACCUAUAGUAGGGCCAUCAUCAGAGUCCUGGACAGCUGAACCCAAUACAAACAGCAUUAAAAGUAUGCAGUUCAAGGAUCUCCUUAUUGGGAGUGGAACUGCAAGAACAGAGACAACCAAUGUUGAUAUGGAGCUGCUGGCACAGAACAGAGGCCAUGCCAUGUUACGCUACAAGGAGAAGAAGAAAACUCGAAGGCACGUUUCCCAUGUCAUUUUCUUUUAUUGCUAUAUGUUUAUCCUUCUUUUUUGCAUUUUAAGAAGUACAAUAAGUUAAAUGUAUUCUUGUGACUGGUGUGAUAAAAUGAUGAACAUUGAACAGAUACGAGAAGCACAUCCGCUAUGAGUCAAGGAAGGCCAGAGCCGACACUAGAAAGCGAGUGAAAGGUAGGUUUGUGAAGGCAAGUGACUCCUGAUGUCAAAAUUUAGUAGCUGAGUGGUUGUAUCAGUUCCCUGCAUUAGGCCUUGUGUUACAUCAGAAGAACCUCUCUUUUUCUUCCUUUCUUUUUUGUAAUAAAAUAGGUUUAGUUUCAGCAUUAUAUGUGUCUAUGUUUGUAUGCAAAGCUAUGGAAUCCCAUCUCAAUUAUCUACAAGAGUUUUCUCAGGGGGCUUCUACAUGGGUUUUGUUUUAUUUUAUUUUAUUUUUUAAAAUAAGGUGCAACAUUAUCAUCUUGAUUCUGCUUCAUACAUUUACAAAUUACUACUCCAUUAAUAUAGUGUCAAUUGGUACAACCACUACUCUGAUGUGAUGUUUGUUAAUCAAACAAUCCUUACACAUGAAAGGAAAAAAAAAAUUUUAAGGUAGUUUGACAAUUAAUAUAAUUUAUAUGUUCAUUGAGUGCACCGACAUUCAAAAAUCCAUUAAUCAAAUGAAAGCAAAAGAGUACAAUGGUAAAAACUUUUACUAUUCUUUCAAUUCCAACCACAAACUUUAAAAAUAAAUACCUUAAGUCAUAAAAGGUUUAAAUUUAUAACGGGUUAAACUUGUUAUUUAUCAAAUAAAUUUUAAAACUUUUCGAAAAGGUGUUGUCCCUUCUUUAACCCUGCAAGUUGAUUGGAUAGCUCAAUCCCCGCUAACUCAAUGGGGCACUCGAUUCUUGAUAUCCCUACAAAUUGUAAUAAAAUUGAUUUAUUUUUUACAAUUUAACAAUAUCAUAAAAAAUUUAAGUUUGAGCAAAUAAAAAACAAUCCAACAAUAUUAGAAUAAACUUAAGUUUGAAUUCCCUUUAACCUUGCGUGCUGAUUAGAUAGCUCAAUCCCCAGUAGCUCAAUGGGGUGAUCGUAACAAAAUUGAUUUAAGUUUCACAAUCCAGAACAAACUUAAAUUUGAGCAAAUAAAAAAAAAAGCCAAUAAUAUUAUAACAAACUUAAGUUUGAGCAAGUAAAAAGAAAAAGAUAAUUUCUUUGUAGAUAUUUAUUCUAAAAUUCACAUUGUAUUACUAAUAUCACUUUAAAAACAUUGGUUUGCUUUAUACUUAAAUAGCAAAUGAUUCUCUAUAAAAGUAUUUUAGAUAAAAAAAAAAAAAAAGGUUAUUAACAAAAGCAUUAUACACUUAACAUAUGUAGUUUUACGAGAAUAACUCUCAAACGGAUUCUAAGUUUGAGGGAAUUGGAAUGGAGUUAUUCCUAAGGUUGGACAAGAACUUCGAGCAAGUCAAACCAAGGGAGACACUGUGAUUGAAUGUUGAAAGCGACAAAGGCAAGCAAGCAUUUUGUGAUCUAAAAUUCAGGCAAGGGGUUGAGGGUGUUUAGUGGGAAUUACAAGCAUAUAAACAGAGCGAAACCCAUGAAAUUGAAAGCCCGAGGGGUUUAGCCUCAGAUCAAAAGAUAUUCAAAAACCUGAAAACAGCUGUUCUCUUGGUAAACAUAAGGCAUCUUUGAGACUAGGAAACUGGAAGAUCUGUUUCAAAGAUACGUGGGUCGGUCGACAGAGGAUCCAUCAACAACCGUGAAUUUUUUCUGUCUGUGUUUCCUAGAUAUUUUUAUUGGAUUUCGCUUUACCCGAAGGGCUCCUUGUGACAUGGCAGAGCCUGUUCUUUGGAAUGAAAGGGAGCAUGCAUACUACUUACCUUCGACAAUUGCACAGAAAAUUAUUAUGUAUUUGGUAACCAGUUUGAAAAUAUAUACAUGUCAUGUCACUUUUACUUGUCAUAAUAUAUCAAGACUUUUUGGUGGAAGAAGAUACGGCCUACCCAUUUAGUGCCGGAUCGCAAGGCCACAUGUCCACAUCGAAUAGGGACAAGAAUGGAUCAGAUGUAGGGCUGGGAUUUUAUAGGAUUUACCCUUGGUGGGCCCAACCUAAGACACUGAACCAUCUCACGACCAGCUGGGAUUAAAUAAAUAAUUAAAUUGAUGGCAACGUCAAUGCCAACUCCUUCAUCGACGCUGAGAUGCAGCUUCUCUUCCUACUCCUCCGCCAUGUGAGUGAUUUCUCGGUCCCAGAGCUCCUUUUCCCCAGAUUCCUCUUUCUCUCUCUUUCCCAUGAAUCCUCCAUUCACUACAAACCUCCUCCUCUCUCCCUCUGGAGACCAGUAAGCCUCUUUUAUUUUCCUCCUUUCGCCUCAUGCUCUGAAUUUUUGUUUUGAUUUUUUGUUCUUCCAAAUUUUGUUGGAUUCUGUAGGAUGUUAUGUUUGGUAGUGAUCGGAGGAGGCCAGAAGAAUGGGGUGCACAACUUCAAUCUCGAAGAUAUACACAGUUGGGAGGAGGAAGAAGACGAUAAGUAUUCCCGAAACUGUGGUUUUCGUCCCCUCAAUGCGUGUUCCGGUUCGGUCUGACCUUCAGAGAACUCUUAGAGGCCUGAUUCCGCGGGAUGUUGCUGAUAAGUUAUCUUCACUUCGGAAUCAGAUUGUUUUAGUGGCGGAGGAGACUGGUCUGGUCUUACAACGCCUGUUAUUUCUUUAUAUUUUCUGUUUGGUUGCUGAGAAAAUGUAGGAAAAAUUGGAAUUCAGAAGUUUAGCCUAGAUAGUGGUGAACGUCGACUCAAGCGAUCCUACUAGAAAAAUUGCUUGAUUUCUAACUUAUGCCUCUUUCCUCAGUUUCCCGAGCAACCAAAUGGAUCUUUGUUGAAUUUUCCCUUCUAAAGAGAAGUUAAUAGUUUUUGCAGGUGGAUCUGCUGUUACAGAACUAAUGCGGAUUCUAGAGGAGUACUUGUCUGUUCUUCUUGGAUUGACUAAAAAUGGUUUUAGAACUAAUCCUCUCUGUAAUUCUGUCUUUCUAUCUUGAAAAGUGAAUGAUGUGCAUAUAUCUAUAUCAAACAGAAUAUGGGCUUGAAGAGUUGGUGGAAUUCAAGUGGAAAAAUCUUGAAGGUGGACUGCAAGUGAGAAAAUAGUAAAGUUAUAAGUUGCCUUUCUUUAGUAGCAUUUGUGAUCGUAUACAGUCUGCUAAUUGGAUCUGAAAUUUGAUGACUAGGAAACAAAUGUAGCAAACUCCUGGUUUGAAUUACUGUCCAUUGUCCACAUGAUGGCUGUUCUGACACUUUCUGAGGCUAACUCUUUGCUGAUUCCUAAGGAUCACUCUGGUUCUGGUGAAAGAACGGUGUCUGCAGGUGUAUCUCUUUGUCUAUACGGCCUUUUAUAUAUUUGUAGCCUGAAAUUUUUCUUGGGUGAUAUCCCAAUUUGGUGCUCUAAACCUUAACUAAUUGCUAAUCGUAAGAAAUGUGGGCCACCAGAUUUCAAGAGGGAUGCUGUGGAAUUAUUGCUCAAGGCUUCAGGUUACUUGGAAUUCUGUGUUCGGGAUGUACUGGCUCACUUACGACCAGAUAUUAAGUAUAUAAAUACACUCAUGUAGAAUAAUACUAUUCUUAGACUAUUCCCUAUCAAACUUUGUCAUUGAUAAUCGAUAUACAUAUAUCCAGAAGGAGGUUUCCAAAAGAUCUGCAGGAGGGUGUAUUGGAGGCUAUGUCAAUUCAAGCACUAGGCCAGGUAUUUGUUGAUCAUGGUCUGUCUAAUUUUGUGAAACUAAUUUGGGUUUAUGGUUCAAUACAUUAACACCGGUUUGCGAGUAUCGGUAAGGUACUAGAGACUGAUCCUGGUGAGAAUUUCAGGGAACCGAAUUGCAGCUCAGUUUAGCUGUUGAAAGCCAAAAGGCCACUUUAUCUGUGAAGAGGAGGCUGGCAUGUGAACAAAUGAGCUAUUUCAGUCAGGUCUGUAGUUGUUGUCUAAACUUUCACAAGUGAAUAUUUUACUUUCAUGUAUUGCUCUAACUAGUGGAGUUCCUUCUGCUUAUUUUUUUAUUGAUGACUCUGAUUAACAUGGUAUUCCCUUAUUAAGGUGAUGCAACUGAUGGAUUUUAAGUAACUUUCAAGUGAAUUUGAUUGAAAAAAUUGUAUGUUUACCUGAACCUCAGAAACUGUUUUACUCUCAAGAUUUAAUCCCCUUGCUUUUUUGUUUGAUCAGGCUCAUUACUGUUUGUCAGGAUGUGACAUGAGUCAUGGAUAUGGAAAGAAGCAUCUCCUGUUCAUAAAAUGGAAGUACCUUGAAGCAAAGGUACCUCUGAAUUUUUAUAACAUUCCUCUUCCUAGAUUUGACUGAUUAGAUUCUACUUUUCUAAUUGACCAUCCUCUGAUAAUAUUAGGCUGCAGCAUACUACUACCACGGCCUGAUCCUUGACAAGGGUAAUGAGCCAUCCUGUCAUGUUAGUGCUGUAUGUUGUUUUCUUGCUGCGGAAGAACUUCUCGCAGAUAGCAAGAAGGUCUUUUUGAGCUUUUGCCUUGCAGUUCCUGUGACCAGGUUGGCACUGAAGCUGUUGUUUCGUGUAGUGCAGGAGAACCUGUUCCCUUAUAGUAUUCUUAUUCUUUGGAAAAUUAAUUGUUUGGUUCUUUUUCCUUCUUUCCUUGAUUUCUUUUGUUAAGGGCUCCUCCUUUGUGUGACGCCAUGAAGCAUUUACAUCAGAAAAUUCCCGAUAUUGCAUUGAAAAAGUCUCAGAUGUAUGGCUAUCUCUUAGAACAAGAGAAGUAUGUGCAGGGUUUCCUUUCCUACCUUUCUAUGUGAUUGGAUUCAUUUCACCUUUCUAUAUAUGUGAUUGUAUUAAUUUGAUUUUAGGUCAUUGAUACAUUAUUGCCUGCCAGAUUAAUACAGAGGUUUUUGUAGCUUUAUUUAAUUGGUGAUUGUUUAUGCAGGUCUCUCCAAGUACUGCCUGAUCUUCCAGAGUUUCAGCUGUCCUUAAGACCCGAUGACUACCAGUUGCCUGAAAUCCAUCCAGCAUGGAACAAUGAAAAAUGGGAAAACCAGGGCCAGACCCUCAAAGAGCACCUCAGAGAUGGAGAAGAUGAGACUGAAACUGAAUGAUAGGGCAUUGUCUUCUCUCCUUGCCUAAAGAUGUACCAUUUUUCCCUUCUGAACUUUAUCCCCAGUUGUGAGGACUUGACAUUCUCAAACAAGCUUAAAUAUUUACUACAAGAUUACAGUUACGAUGGUUUCAUGUUUCAUUCUUCGUUAGGUUGGGAAGUAUUGGAAGUUCUGUUGAUCAUCUUUGCAUCUCCCUGUCAAUUGUAAAACCUUGUCAUGACUCAUGAUUUACUAAAAACCAGGUGGGGAAAGUAGGAAUGGAUUCAUGCUAUCAGUACAUGUACCUUGAUUUUGUCUUGCAGCUACCCUUUGUCUAGCUCUUCACUUCAGAUAAAAACUACAUUGAUGAUGGAUCUCCAGAUAUGGGGCUCCAAAUUAACAUUCUUGGGGAGAGGGUAGACUUGCAAGAUUUGAUGGUUGCCAUAAACACUUGGUUUUGCAGGAAAUCACAUCUUAGCUAGCUUGGGAACUUCUGAGUCUGUCUGUAAUUACAGUUUGAAGUUCUUAUUGUAGGCCAUCUUAGUGUGCUGGUGCAUGGUUGGAAUGAAUGAUGAGACUUUUUUAGCAUAUUUAGAGGAAGAUCGAAUCGUAAAUUUAUUCAAAUCUAAGCUCAGGCCAGUGCGAAAAUUUUUUUCAAACAAAAAUUCAUUUAUAUCUUGGUGGCUUACGAAUAUAAAUUCAUAUAGGUUGAUCGAGCAAGUCCAGCAACUCGUCCGAAUGCUGCUUGAUGACCACACUAAACUCCUGCAAGUAAAGAUAGUUGGGCGUCCCCAACUAUGCCUCUCGGACGUUCAAGUUAGUGAGAGAACUACAGGAAAGAGGAAAUCAAUACGAAUUGUUUGGCUUAAGAUGGGGGCUUGAACCGGUGUGGGACGAACAGGCCAAAGAGUUGACAUUAGAGGAUACAGCAAGCACCAAGCACCAAGCACCAAGAAAGUUCAACAACAUAGGAUAUGAAAUUCAAGAUGGUGUGAUGGACAAAAAGUAAAAACCAAGGGCUUGUUUGGUCUUUGUUUUUUAAAACUGUUCUGGAAAACAGUUUUUUAGAAUAGUUUUUUAUGUUUUUAGAAAAAAAAAAUAGUGUUUGGGAAUUGAAUUUUGAAAAAACAGCUUUUGUUCUCAAAAAAAAAAAAAAAAAACAUGUUUGUUUGAGUUAAUAAAAAAGUUUUUUAGAAUAAGUAAAACAAAAAACAUGUUUAAAAAUUAUUAUUUUUUAAUUAAUAAAGUGUUUUCUUCUAUUAACUUGAUAUUAAAAAUAUAUAAAUAAUUUUCAUAUGCACAAUUUAUUUAAAUUAAAAAAAGUUAUUCAAUUUUGAAAAUUUUGCACUAAUUAUAAUUUUUUUAAACAAAUGAUGACUUUAUCAUCAUAUGUAAGUAAGUAUAUUAAUUUCAAUAAUUUAAGGAAGAAGAAAGGGUUUGUGGGUGGGGAUGUGGUGGUUGGAUGAAACUGACAUUUGUGGAAACACAAAAAAUAGUUAAGAAAACACAAAAAGAGGGAAAAGAAAACACAAAAAAAUAAUUUAUUCUUUGAACAUCAAAAAACAAUGAAAACAUCUUUUUAUUGUUCUAAAAAAAAUGGUUUUUGAGAACACAGAAAAUACAAAAAACAAAAACACGCCCUCUUCCCCAAACAAGCUUUAUGUGUUUUUUGUUUUCAAGAACAGAAAACAGUUCUUGAAAAUAGGAACCAAAUAAGCCCCAACAUUUUCAUAGUCGGAAAGAUUAUUGAACCAAAAAAGUUAUCGAUUAAAGGUUGAUGGUUCAUUUGUUGAAUUGGUGGUCGUACCACCGUCAUAAAUAUAUAAUUUAAUAAAUUAUAUAAAAUUAAAAUUAAUUAUAAUAAUUUAGGGAUAUAAAUAUAAUUCAAACUUUUAAGAAUAUUUUAUCUUUUAUACUUGAUAUUAUCAAAUUAAAUAAUGAUAAGUUUAAAUAUAAAUAUAUUAAUAUUUUUAAUUUUAUUUAAUAAAAUAUAUAUAAUAUUUAAAUGUGAAGGUAUAUUUAAAAAUUGAAGGAAAAAUAUAAUAUUUAAUUCUAUUAUGAAAAUAUUAUUUAUAUAUAAAAAAAUUACAGAUUUUAUUGUUUUAAUACUUAUCAUUAUAAAAAUAAAUAUUCACAUAAAUAUUUAUUUUUAUUUAAGGAUUUAAAUUAAUGAAACUUUAAAAGAAAACAAAAACAAAAGCCCUUACAUUAUUGUUUUUUGUAAAAAUUUAAAUAACGCUUACAAAUAACCUAGUGAUAGCUAUUUCCUUAUUUGUGUGCUACAACUGAGGGUCUCCAAAAAGCCCGCGGCCCGCUUUAGGCCCGGCCCGGCCCGACGGGCUAAAGCCCGACCCAAGCCCGAGCCCGAGCCGGCCCGUAGGCCCGCCUUUAGGCCCAUCCCUUUAAAAAAAAAACUACAAAAAUAAAAAGUAUUAAAAAAAAUAUUCAUUUCAAAAUUUUAUUCAUUUAAUGUAUAAUUACAUUUGAAAAUGUGGGAAAAGUUUACAUCACUACAAAAUAAAUACAUCCCAACUAGGUUGGCACCUAUUUAUUUUUCAACCACAAAAAAUAAAAAUAAAAAUAUAAUAUACAUUUAGUCAUUAUUUUCUGGCGGUGAUGGCGAACUAUCAUGCAUCCAUGAAGAUCUUAAUAAUUUUAAAGAUUCCAUAUCGGCAAGCAUCUUUGUUUCUCGAAUGGAAUCGUACAUCAUUUUAUUUGCUAUUUCCCAAUCUUUCACACAUAUCCCUGCUUCAAUAACAUCUGGCGCUAAGUUGCAUCGUUUUUUACUAACUACUCUUCCACUUGCACUAAAAGCAGCUUCUAAUGCAAUUGUACUCACAGGAACUGUUAGUACAUCACGAGCAAUUAUAGAAAGUACAAGAUAUUUGUGUUGAUGUGAUUUUCACCAUAUUAAAAUAUCAAAAUCUUCUUGAUCUUCAAAUGAAAUUAUAUCAGUAUUAAGAUAUUUAUCUAAAUCAGAUGUAUUAUUUGGAGAAUUAUUUGUUGUCUUUUUUCGACUUUUCAACAUUUCUAGAGCUCCUUUAUAAAAAGAUGAGGAGUUUGUAGAUGUAGGUGGUAAUUUAAUAGUAUUAAUAUCAUUACCAUAUUUUUCUUUAUAAUAGUUAUAUAAAUUAUAUAAUAAUGAAUUUAUUUCAUUUUUAAUUUCUUCAAUUUUUAUUUGGUCAUUAAAAUAAAUAAUUGUUAACCAUUCAUUCAAAGCUUCAAAUUUCAAUCUAGGGUCCACAAUUAAAGCAAUAUAAAAAAUUAAAGGUAUUUCUCCCCAAUAUUUUCUAAAUUUUUCUAUCAUUGCAAAUAUUGUAUCAUUAAAUAUUUCAAAACUUAAAUAUUUUUGAAGUACAAUAAAAAUAUUAGUUAUUUGCAUAAUAAUUCGAUUUGAAGUUGGAUAAUAUACACCACAAAAAAUGUUUGUUGAAGUAUCAAAAAUUUCAAAAAGAUCUCUUAAAAGAUCCGCAAUAUGCCAAUCAUAAUCAUUUAAUGCAUAAAUAUCUGCUUCAUAAUCAUUGUUAAUUAAUUGUAUUUCAUAUAAUUCGACUACUUUUCUAUAUUUUGUAAUAUUUUGUAAAAGUUUAUAUGUGGAAUUCCAUCUAAUGGUCAUGUCCAAAUUUAUAUUUUUUCUUUUCAUAUUUAACAUUUUGCAACAAUAAAAAAAUAAUUCAUGUUUUUCUUGAGAACUAUUAAUACUAUAUGCAAUGCCUCUAAUUUUUUCCAAUGUACUAUCAAUAUUUUUUAAUUCAUCCUUUACAAUUAAAUUUAAAAUAUGUGCACAACAACGCACAUGAAAUAUUUUAGCAUGAUCUUCUUUUACUUGUCAAUAUCGUUUUAGUCUAUGUAUUGUUGCAUCAUUAUUAGCAGCAUUAUCUAAUGUUAUUGUCAAUAUUUUAUCACGAAUGUCUAAAUCUAUAAUUUCAUCAUUUAUUAAAGAUGCUAUAUUUUUACCACUAUGUGGAGCAUUUAUUAAUUUAAAUGAAAUUAUUUUUUUAUUUAAUUUCCAUUCAUUAUCAAUGUAUUGAGCAGUUAUACAUAAAAAACCAGUGUGAGUUAAAGAUGUCCAAAUAUCAGAUGUUAAACAAAUAUUUCCUUCAAAAUUUGCAAAAAAAAAUUUUAAAUUUCUUUUUGUGUAUAAAUUUUUUUCAUAAUAUCUCUUUUAACUAUAUUUCCAAACCAACCUUUAAAUUGAGGAUUAAUACCUCGUUAAAUUGUUCCUGCAAAAUCAUGAGUUUCCAUCAUGUUGAAAGGUUGUUCUGCUCUUAUUAUAUAAUCAAUCAUUUCUUCACGACAGUUAGAUUCAUCAUAAGAAAAUGUUUUUAAAUUUCCACUUUCAUUUUUACCUAAUUGCAUAUAAUUUCUAAUAUCUACAUUAUUUUUAGUUUUACAAUUUUCAUGAUGUCUUUUUAAAUGACUUAUGUCUGCAUUUGAGCCACCAGUAAGAAAUUUAUUACAAAUUUUACAUUUUGCUUUUAUUUCUUUUUUAUUAUUUUCUAAAAUUAUUUCUAUUCUAUCAAAAAAAUUUCAUAUAUUUGAAGUAAAUUUUUUGUUUGAUAAUAUUUCAUCAUAUGGACUAUAUGAAAAAGCACUUGUCAUAUUAUAAUUAUUGAUAAAAUAUUAUGCCAAAAAUAAUAAAAUAAUAAAUAUAAAAAAAAUGUAAGAAAAAAAUAAAGUAGUAGGGGUGAAGUAUAUUACUCAAUUAGAAAACCGAUGUAGAAAUUCCUAGCAAAUUUGAACUCUUGGAGCUACCAAUGCUUGUUUUGCACCACCAACAAUAUUGUAUAAUUUGAGCGAAAAAUAAAAGAAUUUGAAAUAUUGUAGAAUGUGAGAGAAAUAGAGAGAAUUUGAUGAAAAAAUGAAAAGGAAGAAAAUGUAUUUAUAGGAAGGUUAAAAAAACAAUUCAAAAUUCAAAAUUCAAAAUUCAAAAUUCAAAAUAAUUGGUCAUGUGACCGUUGAAGGCUUAGCUCCAACGGUCACAUGGGCUGGAGCUAGGCUCCAACGGUCACAUGAUCGUUGGAGCUUUUAAUUUUUUUUUUUUAAAUAAUAUAUUUUAUAUAUAUAUAUAUAACUAACUCAAUUAAUAAACAUAAAAAGAAUGUAGUUUAGUUGGUUAGAAACUUAGAGUUUAAACAUGAGAGGAGGGGUUCGAAUCCUCUCCUUCCCUUCGCUUUUUUGAAAGCAUUUUGGCUUAAUUCAAAAAGCCCGCCGGCCCGACCCGUCCGCCAGCCCGCGAGCCUAGCAUUUUAGCAUGGUCCGAGCUGGGCCGUGGGCCUCCUAUUUACAGCCCGGCCUGGCCCACCCGUUGGAGACCCCUGGCUACAACCCAAGUUUGAUUCCCCACCUUACCCACCUGCCGCUUUUAUUUUCUACCCAUCCAGAUACAAAAAUUUCCUCCCAUAAAUUUUGAUGAGCUUCAAUGCAAAUUAGCAAAUUGGCCCAUUAGGCCUGUGCAUGGUAUGGCCCAUAGUUUCUGGCCCGCUCGGUUCACAUUGACCCGCCCGGUUCAAUUCGGUUCAUGGUUGGACCGCUGGUUUAGGCAGUUCACAUCCGAUUGGACCUGCAACAGGGUUGAUAAUGUGAACCAAACCGGAAACUGGACCGUUCGAUUUUAGAAAAACUGGUAAAACGUCAAUCCACAUGUCAGUAAGAACCCAUAAGACGAAAUUGCCUAAAUAGUUGUAAACUUUCCCUUUUGCUAGGGCAUAAAUGCCUUUUAUAGAUGACCCUAACCCUAGUUGUCUAACCUUGAUUUGGCUAGUGCGAACUUUUCAUGGAGAGUGCGCACAUGAACACGUUUAGGUCUUGUACCCAAAAUGGACGGGCUAGGCCAUGUUCUCAGUGAUUCUAUUCAACUGAACAACCCCAUCCAGAUUCAUCAUCAUGUACCCAACUUGGAUCAGGGCCUUCAACCCGACCAAUCAAGGUAUGGCACCACCAUAUCUCAUGUUUGAAACCCUAUCAUUUAAAAAUAAAAAAAAAGUUCAUUUGUAUCGGAUUUUGGAAACACUUCGUCUUCUCCAACAUCGUUUGUUUCAUUAAAUAGAGACUAAGGUCGUUCAUCCCGACGGGCAGUAUGCUUAUGCGUUGACCUUCUCCAAGAGCACCAUCUAUAUAUGCAUAUGAUUUCCAGAAGCCAUAGCAUCAAGAAAACUUGGAAAAGUUACUUGAUUCUGCCUCUGAUUGUGCUAGCUUUGGACUCCACACAUUCCAAAACUUUUUUUUUUCUUUUUUCUUUUGAUUACUCUAGACUUUGCAACCACAUCGUUUUUAGAUAAAAGAAAAUUUUAUUCCCGAAAAUAAAAAGUAAAAAAUAAAUUGAUGCCUUAGUUUAUGAAACUAUCUUUUAUUCACAAAAGUAAUAAAUAAAUAUUAAUGAUAACAUAAUAAAUUUGCAUAUUUAACUAGACAACUAGUGUUGAAAGUAGUCGCUAUCCGUUAUGGUCACAUUGAGCAAUCUCUAAUAACGGCCAAAAAAAUGAACUAAAUAUUAUUUUUGAGUAAACGAAUCAAUUGCCAUGUUCUCAAGAACAUGGACUAGACAUCAUGUUCUCGAGAACACAGACUAGACGUCGUGUUCUCAAGAACACGAAUUAGAUGUCACGUUCUUAAGAACAUGACUAUAUAAAAUUAAAAAAGGAUCAUUUCUGUUAUAAAAAGUUAUUAUUCACUUUAAUGGAAAAUGACUCGUGGACUCCUAACAAAUAUAAAUAUGGAAGAACAUUUAAGGAAAAUACAAUAAAAAAUUAGUGUGCUUAUAAGUGGAAGUGAUAAUCUCUUAUUACAUUUUAAAGCACAUUUUAGCUGUUGACUUAAUUAACAUGACCCAGAAAAUCCUAAAAUGAAACUGAAAAAAUUUAAUUACCGUGGAAAAAGGAUUAAACCAUUUGGCUAGUCAUUGAUUACCCACAUCCAUAAAUUAUUUGAUUUUUAUUAUGUUUUACUAAAAGAGGAUAAAUGACAUAAUGGAACUUACUGUUAUUUCCAAUCAACCAAACAGCUUUUCAUUUCUCAUCCUCUUUUUCCCUAGAAAAAAAAAGCUUCUCUAUUCCACUCUCAGAUCAAAUGACCAGAGACUCUAAGAUUUCUGGCAGCCAUGAUUGUAAGAAGGAAGAGA